UUUAUUCAAAAACAAAUCAAAAUCCCAAAUCUAUGCAAGGUUCUUCUGUCCCACCUCAUUCAAACAAGGCAAGCCCACACGUGGAUGAACAAGUUAAAACUCCUGUCACUUUCAUUUGCAGCGCUGAUAGCUGUUGUUGCUACUACCGUUGGAAUUUCAAAAUUCAAUUUCUCCUUCUCUUUCAAUAUCUACAAACUUUCUUACUCAUCUCUCUCCAUCUUUUCUUGAUUUCUUCAAACUGAAAGGGUCAAGCUUCCUCUCUACACACAAAUUUGAGAGAUUCCUUCGUUUCUCCAUCACUUUUGACAAACCCAGCGGCGAGAAAAUUGUGAAGUAAGGUAUGCACUUCAGAUCCAUUUUCGUUUUUAUUUACAGAUUCAUUUUUUUUUCGAAUUCCAGAUCUAUUAUAUUUUUGUUCUUUCAAUUUACAGGGAUGCUGUUCUUCAAUCUUCAUUCCUCACGUUGUUUCUUUUCUUCUUCACGUGCAAAUCAGAGAUUGCUGCUAAUGAAUUUAAGUGAAAGGUAUGUCAUUUAACAGUAUCAUCUUUAGUUUGAUGAAUUUGGAGGUAACUGUUCGCUCCCCCUAUUUUUUUUUAUUUUUUUUUUGUUCUUGCCUUGGAUUUCAUGAUUUGUUGUUAUUAUUAUUAUUAUUAUUAUUAUUAUUAUUAUUAUUAUUAUUAUUAUUAUUAUUUAUUUAUGUUUUGGCUUUGGAUUUCAUGACUAAUUAAAUGCAUGUUCAAAUUGGGAUUUGUUCUUUCAUGUAUCUAAAGGCACGGGUUUCUGCAAUUUUCACAUUGACCUUGCAGCAAAGUUUGUAGUUACUGGCUUUCUCUGUUUUUUUUUUUUUAAGGUAAAUAAGUUUUGAUUGUUGGAUAACCUUGGUUCCUAAUUUUUCUCAAUCAGUAACAACCUCUUUUUAAUUUGAUUUAAAAUUAGCAACUAAUAUAAAAUAUCCUGUCAAUGAGNNNNNNNNNNNNNNNNNNNNNNNNNNNNNNNNNNNNNNNNNNNNNNNNNNNNNNNNNNNNNNNNNNNNNNNNNNNNNNNNNNNNNNNNNNNNNNNNNNNNNNNNNNNNNNNNNNNNNNNNNNNNNNNNNNNNNNNNNNNNNNNNNNNNNNNNNNNNNNNNNNNNNNNNNNNNNNNNNNNNNNNNNNNNNNNNNNNNNNNNNNNNNNNNNNNNNNNNNNNNNNNNNNNNNNNNNNNNNNNNNNNNNNNNNNNNNNNNNNNNNNNNNNNNNNNNNNNNNNNNNNNNNNNNNNNNNNNNNNNNNNNNNNNNNNNNNNNNNNNNNNNNNNNNNNNNNNNNNNNNNNNNNNNNNNNNNNNNNNNNNNNNNNNNNNNNNNNNNNNNNNNNNNNNNNNNNNNNNNNNNNNNNNNNNNNNNNNNNNNNNNNNNNNNNNNNNNNNNNNNNNNNNNNNNNNNNNNNNNNNNNNNNNNNNNNNNNNNNNNNNNNNNNNNNNNNNNNNNNNNNNNNNNNNNNNNNNNNNNNNNNNNNNNNNNNNNNNNNNNNNNNNNNNNNNNNNNNNNNNNNNNNNNNNNNNNNNNNNNNNNNNNNNNNNNNNNNNNNNNNNNNNNNNNNNNNNNNNNNNNNNNNNNNNNNNNNNNNNNNNNNNNNNNNNNNNNNAUUAUAAGGUAGUACUAUUUUUCUUUGGUGGAUGUCAAUUUUAUUUGGGUUUACUAAAAUACAUAAUAUCAAAUCUUAGUGCAUAAACAAAUUCUUGCCCGUGCGUCGCACGGGUGGGAAAUCUAGUAGAUGGACAAACAAGAAGUAUCUACACAGAAUGAAAAAUUACCAGCACUGCAUGAGGUUGGAGGAUCUUUCUGAAGGUCCUCGAGUUCCUUCAGGAUCCGCUUGGAGCUAAUAUUUUCACUUAUCUCUUUUGAUUCUCUCAUAUUUUUGUCACCAAUUCCGAUUCUUUGUUCAUCGUAAAGAAAAUCAGUUUUAUAAUUAAUUUUCUAAGAAACUAUACUUAAAUAGCGUUUUAUCUCAAAUAACUUUUAGAUUUUUUGCUUUGAAAAUUGGCAAUAAAUAGAUAAAAAAGCGUUUAUUUAGCAUUUUUUCUAUUUUAUUAAUAGACUAAUUUCAAGUUAAAAAAGAAGAAAAAGAGAGAGACUAGUUUCAAGUAACUGACUGUGUGAAAUUAUGUCUAGCACUAACACACACACACUAGAAACCAGAUACAACAUAUUUAUCAAUUGUCAAGAAGAUAUGUCAUAUAACAAGAUCUAAUAUCCUGCUCUUCCCAACCUGACCUUAAGGUAGUCUUGUCUUGGGCCCUAAGUUCUAAUUCUACCAUAUAAUUUCAAAGUAGAAUCAUAUAUUACACCUUAAAAAGGUAACAUACCUUAUUUAAUUUUCCACUAGAUUAUUUCCAUUUUCAAUUUUAUCAUCAUAGUUAAUUAUAAUAAGGUGGAAGAGGAAGGACAACUCUCUUCCUUCACAAAUCCAACAUGCUCAUUGCUCACCCACCACACCACAUUUAUGUUUUUGCACUGAAACCAAAUGAAGAACUAUAUAAAUUUUAAUCUAUGGAAAAAUAAAACAGCAAAAAAACUACGUCCUCAAUAAUGGAAACAUGCAUGGAGACUCUCUCAUUGUCUAGAGUGAUUGAGUACGACUACUAAUUUUAUAUAUAUACACUACCUAUUAACUAUGUACAUCCUAAAUUCCCAAUACACAAACCAAUCGUUAAUUGGUUCAGUGGUGAUUAUCAUUGAGCGAAGACCACAGUUUGAUUCCCGCAACUGCGAUCAGAGGAGGCUGGAACCACUUAAUGCGAGAACUAACCCCAAACCAUAUUAAAUAGUCUAGUGGGUCCGAUACUGAUAGUGAAAACAAAAAAAUCGCAAUACACAUUUGGGAGAACCAAGUAGCAAGUUGAUCCAAUAUGUCUUCACCUUUUGCACAAUGAAAUGAACAUCAAUCCAAUAAAUAUAUCCCCAACUCACUCUAUUUUUUUUUUAAACCAAAGGUAUUCUUCGCACGCAACUGCAGAGACUAAUCACUCCAGGUAAUUGAGAUCCAUUUAAGGGGUUGACAUCUCCCAACAACUCACUCUAUUUUGAUCCUGUAAUCAAACAAAAACAAAUCAGAAACAUGCCAUAAUAAUUUAGAAAUGAGAGAGAAUAGUUAAUUACAGUGUUAAUUACCAUUUGAAGAUAAUGAAAGAACAAUGAGGCAUGUCACCAUUUUGAAUUUGUUUCAAAGUAACAUCACCACAAACAACAGUAACAUCAAUCAUCAUCGAUUUCCAACCUUGUACUAUCACAUUCGUUUUGGUUUUCACCUCCACACUCGGCGUCAAAGCUUUACUAUCAAACACACUUUUCAACCUUCUUCUCUGUUUUGCAUCCAAUACUUCUUCUCCCCUAACCUUCGUCUCCGCCUUCAACGCCGUCAUAUUCAUCACAUUCACAUCAAAUGCAGCCACCUUCGUCGACCCUAAAUUCAACUCUCCAUUUUCCGCCCAUAUCUGAACAUUACUCUGUUCAAAAUGCCACACCAUUUUGGUAUUACGGUUCUUCACUUCCACCACUGUUACUGUGUCUGCGUCGAGAUAAGAAACGUCCGGGGUUCCGGUUAUGUUGAAAUUUGGAACACGGAAGGAACCGAGGUGAAACUCCGGGGGAGAAGGUUGAUAGAUGAAGUAGAUGAGUGUGGCAGCGACGAUGAAGAUGAAAAUGAGGAUGAAGAGAAUGAUGCAGAAUGUGCAACAACAUAUGUGACAACAGUCAUGUUUCCUGGGUUUUGGUCGGAAGGAAGGUGGGAGAGGUGGUUUUCGAGGCGGAUGCGGUUGUUUUAUUGUUAUUGUUUGUUGUUCCGGCGUGUUUGAGUCUUUGUAACCGGGUGGUUUUUGUAGUUUUUGUUGCAUUGUGAUUUAUGUAUGUAUGGGGUUAAUAAUAUUAAUAACAAGGAUUUAUGGAAAAAAAAAUUAAUUAUGAGAUAAUUGAUAUUAAAUGAUGUUGUUAUGGAGAAGAAUGAAAAUGUAGGGCAUUGUUGGAUUGGGAAUGUGAAUGAUGAUGGUGGAGACAUGGAAGAAUCAUCUCAUAAAUCUUGGAGAAGUAAAAAAAAAAAAAAUGAAGGUUAUUUUGUUGUUGCUUGAGGUUGGGAGGGUUAAGAGAAGAGAGAAUGGAACGUACAAAGUCUUUGGUCACACGAGAGGAUGAAGAGGAGUCGGAAGAGGACAAAAUUGUUGUGCCACAUAGAUACAAAAUGCAAAAACUAAAUAAAUAAAUAUCAUCUUCCUACGUUAAGUUUAUUAGGAGAUAAGCGAAUUUGGUCACUCAUAUUCUUGCUAGGGCGGCCAAUAUUUGGGCUAGUAGUUUCCAUAGAUUUGAGAUUAUUCCCUUAUGUAUUGAACAUUUAUUAGUUAAUGAUAUGAAUUAAGUUUGUUUGGCUAAAAAAUAAAUAAAUUUGUAUCUAUCCACACUUAUAUAAUGUGCCCAAUAUAUAUAAAUCUUCUCACCAUGAAUAAACUUAUUGAAUUAAUAUGUUUUCUUACAUUUCAUUUGAAUUUGAUUCAAUCGUUAAAUCGAUUAAUUCAAUGAAAACAAGUUUGUAUACGGUGUAAGAUUUGUUUCAUUUGUGCAUUAUAAAUUGACAUUUUAUUACAAGUGGAUUAUAUGUUAAUGCAAUAAUUAGUAAAUUAGAACCAUUUUAUCGCUUUUGGACGACCGAGAUUGCUUACUGUAUAUAUGAGAAAAAUUUGAGAAAAACACAGUUCGCUAUCUAAGUAGCAAACCUUAAAAAAAUCAUUUUUUUUUGUCCCAUUCACCCUUCCCUCACCUCUCAUAAUUUUUUUUGAAUGAAAUACAGUUCACAAGUUAAACUGCGAACUCUUCUUUCACCCCCCAAAGAAAAAUAUUUUGAAUGAAACUUGCAUGAGAAAGUAAUUAAAAAAUGAAAAAAGAGGUUUCAAUUUAUAGAAUUAUACGUUGUGCAUGUGUAUGAUUGAUUGAUAUUUGAUACUAUGUCACAACCGCUUCAGUUACCAAAUUUUUAUAAAGUUCACUAAUUAAAGUGCAAACCAAGUUCGCACUCUAAGUAGCGAAUUGUGUUUUUUCAUAAUAUUUUCAUUCAUAGGGGGCGUGAACGGUGCAGACGUGGGGUUGAGUUGAAAAAAUUUUCACCACUCGCUACGCAAAGUGCAAACUGAGUUAGUAAUUUGGAUAGCAAGAAGUAUUUAGGUAGUUAUACAAGAUGUUUUCUCUCCCGACCCCCCUCAUUUCUUUUCUACCCCCAAAAAUCCAAUUUUGCCCCUUGCGGUUCCAAACAUUUUUGCCAAAAAACUUCGGUUCGUAUUCACCGAAGCCAAAUAUUAGACCAUUUCGGUAACUGCAAACCGAACAUUAGCGUUUUCGGUACACAAAAANNNNNNNNNNNNNNNNNNNNNNNNNNNNNNNNNNNNNNNNNNNNNNNNNNNNNNNNNNNNNNNNNNNNNNNNNNNNNNNNNNNNNNNNNNNNNNNNNNNNNNNNNNNNNNNNNNNNNNNNNNNNNNNNNNNNNNNNNNNNNNNNNNNNNNNNNNNNNNNNNNNNNNNNNNNNNNNNNNNNNNNNNNNNNNNNNNNNNNNNNNNNNNNNNNNNNNNNNNNNNNNNNNNNNNNNNNNNNNNNNNNNNNNNNNNNNNNNNNNNNNNNNNNNNNNNNNNNNNNNNNNNNNNNNNNNNNNNNNNNNNNNNNNNNNNNNNNNNNNNNNNNNNNNNNNNNNNNNNNNNNNNNNNNNNNNNNNNNNNNNNNNNNNNNNNNNNNNNNNNNNNNNNNNNNNNNNNNNNNNNNNNNNNNNNNNACCCAGCAAAAGUGACCUAACAACAAAAAAAAAAGUUCCACUUCUUCUCCUUCAUCGGUAACUAACACAACACGUUCUCACUUCUCAGUCCCUUUACCGUCAUUCCGUUGAAGAACCUUCUCCAUCCCACGCAGGUCCAGCCACCGCGCCGCCGCCGGUGACAACCGCUUCCACCGCCCUUCCCUCUCACAGUAACCUUCUCCUCUCUCUCUCUCUCUCUGAAACAACGUCUUACUGUUUAUUAUCCUUAGCAAUUCAUAGUAUAUCAGUAGAGUUCUUCACUUGCAGCUAUCUUUCUUGAAUAUGUAUAUAUAUAUAUAUGUGCUUCAAUUCAAAACCAAGAAAUUAAAUAACACUAGAGAAAUUCAAUGUAGAAGAAAUUGAAAGCCAAAAAAUUAACUAGUUGUAUCACUGUAGAGAAGACAAACCCUAAUGAAAGGAUUCAAGUUCUUUUAAGUUUAAAUUCAAUUAACAGUAAAGACAAUAAGGCUCAGUAUCAAUUGAUUAUUUAAGUUUAUCUACUAGCAUAAACAUCUUAUUUCCACAAGCUAUCCGGGAUAGCUUAUGAAAACAACGUAUAGCUUGUAUGAAAAUAAUUUAACUUAUUUUUAUAGAAAUAACUUAUACGUAAGCACUUAUGCAGCUAUUAGCGCUUAGUGAAGUUACUUAUCCAAAUGGGAUAGCUUAUGAAAACAACUUAUAGCUUAUAUGAAAAUUGAUUUGGUCUAGAUUAUGCAAAAUCUCACUGUUGUGGAAUGAUAAUUGGGAUUUUGGAAGGUUUUAUUAAUGUUCCUUUUUUUCUUUGAAGCAAAGAAAACAGAGUAACGAAAAACAACGUUUCCUGUGCAAAAUAGUUUCAACACCAUAGAUGGAGUACGUUAGCCCAGAAGGACUUCGCUUGGAUGGUCGCCGGCCCAUGGAAGUACGGCUGUCUUCCACCUCGUUUCUCUCCAAUUAAUUUUCUUUUUCUUUUUGAAUUUUGCAUGCGAUUUUUUGUUUUGUUUUUUCUCUUCUGAACUUUACCUUACCAUGUUUUCCCCUCUCUAUGCAAUCCUAGAUGCGACAAAUUCGAGCAGAGAUUGGUUCUGUAUCCAAAGCUGAUGGGUAGAUAUUUUUCAUCUUUUGCCCCUCACUUUCUAAUUUCAAUUUUUUAUUUAUUUAAAUUCAGUAAUAAAUUUAUUUAAAGGCAUUUUCAUUGUGAAACCAGGUCUGCCAUUUUCGAGAUGGGUAAUACCAAAGUGAUUGCUGCUGUUUAUGGCCCUAGAGAGGUACUAUAUAAUCAUUAGACUUGCAUAUGCAUUUGUACUCAUGCAAUUUGAAGAUGGAUAAUUAUCCUUUCUAAGGGAUUAAUCAGCUUUGAUGAUUAGAAAAGUUUUGAAUUUGCAUUUGAGAUUUAGAUGAUGUUGCCGUUUUUUUAGUAACUUCUAUAUAUUUCAGGUUCAAAAUAGGAGCCAGCAAAUAAGUGACCGGGCUCUGGUAUAUUUCUUCUAUUAAGUUAUAGUAAUAUCAUUCAUUGAAUGUACUUUUAGUUUAUUUAUAUGCAUUGUACUGAACAUUUAAUCACUUUUCGUCUGCAUUUAAUCUUUUAGGUUCGAUGUGAAUACAGCAUGGCUAAUUUUAGCACUGGUGAUCGCAUGAGGAAACCAAAGGGAGACAGGUUAUUUCUUAUUUACUCAUUUAGUUUCCCAGUCUUUUGUAUGAUUUUGAUACUUGAUACUUAAUUGAUAUAGUAUUGAUGAACUAAUAGAACUAGAGUGAGCGUAGCGACAACAGAAUCACCCUAGAGAAUAACUUGCGACAUUUCUAUAUUUUUGCAUAAGUAGGAAUUAAACUAUGAAAGAGGUGUGGAACUCAGGAAUAGUACCAUGUUUCAUUCUAUGGAUGCAUUUUUGGUAUGGCAUUGUUGUUAAUUGUUAUAGAGAAAUUUAGAUGCUGGUUUGAUUGAGAGGCUAACUGAAUAGGACAGCAUAUUAAAGGAGGAAAUGGUAGCAGCUUGUUAAUUAUCAAGGUAAAGGCAUAAUGCAUAAUUUGUUCAUGGGUCCAACUCCACAAAACCUCGGUAAACAAAGUGCUGUCUUCCCACCUUGCUUGUAUGAUGGGUUAUGACUUAUGACUGUUUAGCAGCUUAUCUUUCAGAAAAUUUCCAGUUGAGCGGCCCAAUGGCACAAGCUUAGAUGGAAAUAUCAGCAGCAGGCACGACUGAUCAUUGAUUUUUGAGAACCUUACCACCUGGGACGAGCUGAUUUUGAAGGAAGCUUUAGCAGAAACAUGGUGUGGAGAUGAUCAGUGGGAAUACUCACCUUGUGGAUAAGGUGGGUUUUGGAGGAGUGGUAUUGUUAGGAUCUAUCAUUAUAGUUUUUUUUUUUUCUUUUGGGGGGAUUAUCAUUAUAGUUAUUUAGUUAAUAAGAGAAGUUAACUAGUUAGAAGGGGUAUAGAUUAGUUAAAUAAUUAGUUUGCAAGAGAAGUUAAGUAGUUUAAAGGGAUAGUGUGUAUACAUAGGAGAAGUAAGGAUGGGAGAGGGCGUUCAUUGUUUGUUGUAUUGUGAAAGGACAAAGGAAUUUUGUGAAAGGGGAAACCAUUGGAGGAGAGUCCCAUCUCUUGUUCUUAUUCUUUAAAUAAAAUUUCUUCAUUUUUUUUCAUUUCUUUCUAUCAAUUUUCCAUUUCUUUCCCUUUGUUCCUAACAGACUCGGUGCUCAAUGUUUUAAGCAUAAAUAUUCAGUCAUUUUGUUUGUCUUUAAGAGUUUGUUAUAUUGGUUCUUCUUGCAUGGUUCCCUAACCCUUGUAUGAUGGGACAACUCACAAUCUCAUGUUUUUUUACUUCUAUAUUUAAUUGAAGUUUUCUCAUGCUACAGGAGAUCAACUGAAAUUUCUUUGGUUAUUCGACAAACCAUGGAAGCAUGCAUAUUGACGCAUUUAAUGCCCCGUUCCCAGGUUCGAUUACAGUCUUUGGACUUUCUAUUUUAAUCAGUUUAAAUUGUGUAUUUUCUUUUUGCAAUGAUUUGGUUAUUUAAUUUGCAGAUAGAUAUUUAUGUCCAAGUUCUCCAAGCAGAUGGAGGUAAUUCAUGCCUGUUAAUGGGAUGUUGUGACCAUUUUCUCCUCUUGUUGUCAUUUUUCUUGUUCUUGUGCUCAAUUAUAAAACCUUUCUCCUGUUAAUCGUUGGCAAUACUUAAAAUGGGUCUCUGUAUUUCAUAUGACUUUUGUUCGUAACAUGCCUUUCGUAGGAACUAGGUCUGCUUGUAUAAAUGCUGCAACUUUGGCCUUAGCUGAUGCUGGGAUCCCUAUGCGUGAUCUUGUAACUUCCUGUAGUGCUGGAUACCUCAAUAGCACCCCUCUGCUUGGUAUAUAUCUGUUUUACUAAAAAAAUUAACACUGUAACAACUAACAAGGGUGGUUUGUCUUUUUUCUGUAACAAGUGAAAUUUUGAUAUAGCACUGUAUGGUUUGUCAUAAUUAUUGAAAGUUGCGGAUUGAAUAUGGACAGAUUUGAACUAUGUAGAAGAUAGUGCUGGGGGUCCUGAUGUAACUGUAGGAAUUCUACCGAAGUUAGAUAAAGUGACGCUUCUUCAGGUAAUUUUCCGUUUCUUAAAAUGAGUUUGUGUUUGUACCUGGUCCUAGCUUAUGGACUGUGUACCAUCUUGCUUGAAUUUGAAAGUUUGUAAUGUCCAUAGUCCAUACUGCAUGUAUUUUGCCUUUUUUAUAGAGGCCUCGGAUCCUUGAGACCCAUUUCUCUUUCAAUCCUUCCUCUUGCUCUCUGCCAUUGGCAAUUAACACAAUCACAUAAAGACUGUUGCUUUUGAAGCUAUAUUUCCUCUCCCUCCUUCCAAAAUUGUUCUUAUCAUUAGACCUAGGUUAUGGAAAGUUAGAAAUUAUGUUCAUGUUGAAAAAUCAAAGAUUCUGCACCUUUUGUUUACUUUUUUUACUUCCUAGACUUUCAUUUUGGUUUUGAUGAAAAUGAUUUAUAGUGACUUGAACCUUUACUCUCUGGUCAGUGUUGAGACGCAAUUCUUUUGUUUAGUAUCAGUUAAUUCUGGAUCAAGUACAGCUUCAUUUUCCCGCAUGAAAACAUUCUUAAUAUACUUAUUAACACUUGUUUUAGGGAUGCCAGUAAUAUAGUGGCCACUAUUGACUUAAGAAUUUGCACUUGUUAUUAUAAAGGCUGAUUGAGAUUGAGAACUUGAUUAUUUUAACAGAAAUAGAUCACUCUAACAUUUGUUUGUAGAAAGCAAUGCAUUUAUUUUCUUCACCAGUUUCUUUCAUUGGAAUUUUCUGUUUCAUUAGGACCAGUUGCCGUGUUACAUAAUUUAUAAUGGAAAGCUUAUAGUUUAAUUGGACGGCGUUGGGUUAAGUGUGAUUUUUGGAUUACUAGAUUUCAAAUUUUGUUUGCACACUAAUUUCUUGUGUACUUACUGUAGAUGGAUUCUAAACUACCAAUUGACAUUUUGGAAAAUGUCAUGCAACUGGCUACAGAAGGCUGCAAAGCAAUUGCCAACUACAUCCGAGAAGUAAGAACCUGCCUCAUUUAUGUGAUUGAUAUAUAUAGGAAUAAUAACAUGGUUCACAUUCCAUUUCAUUGCUUAAUUCCUAAUUUCUUUGUCGGUUAACAGAUAUUACUUGAGAACACAAAGCAACUUGAGUAUCGACGGGGUUCAUAGUUUUAUACAAGUAAUGUUUCCUUUUUGCUUGCAUUUUAAUUUGGUUUAUUUCAUGUUAUACAUAUGAGUGUAUGAUCUGAUGCUGUGGCGGUUGCUGAUGGUUGUCUUUUUCCUGAACUGCAGGUUAAUCUGUUCAUCAGUCGUGCAAUUUUUUAAUUAGAAUUCUAUAGUAUUCACCUAAAGAUGUUUGCAUACGGUACUGAGUCGAGCGGAAAAGUAGAGGCGAAUGUGUUUAAAUGUUGUUGUCACCUAGUGUUUUACCAUUGAACCCUUAACAACAGUGUUUUGUUUCAUUUAACCGAGUUUGAAUUAUAAAUUUGCCCAAUUUUUUUCUUCGAUUUCUGAGGUUGUAAAUCUUUGGAGUUCGAACUGUUAUUAAAUCAUAAAAUUUUCAAGAAUAAAAAACGUUUUUUUUUAAAAUGAUUUAAUAAAAAGAAAUUUUUUUUGUCAAGAUUAUCCCCCUCACCUCCUCUCCAUCUACCUCGAACCAAUCAGACCCUUAAAGAAUUAGAGAAAUACAGUAAAGAAGUAAAAAAUAAGGAAAAAUUGAGUCAAACACAAUUUUUUACCUCUUUACUACUUUUAAGGAGAAGAAAAAAGUAGAAAAAAAGUAGGGACAAACGGAGUCAAAGUCAUAGCUGACGGGAACAUAUGAUAAGCUUCACCGAUAAGGAUCAUCGGCUGCAAAGACCAAUGCUACCAUUCCUGCUGCAAUACCUUAGCCGCAAGAUCAAUGUUCCGCUUUCUUAUAUAUAGCAUUGGAUGCAAACAUAUCAUUACUUCAUUAAAAUAGUGGCCACCACUAAAGGAGGACGUUAACAAUAUUAAAAAAAAAAAAAAUAGGCUAUCAAAUUUUUGUGUAGUUCCAUAAAAUAAAAGAUUAUGGAUAAUUUUAUAUUAUAAUUUUCACUAGUUUAAAGACCGUGAAUUUGUAUGGGUCUAUUGACUUUUAUUCAAUAUUUGAGUUUAUCACUAUAUUAAAAAUGUAGAAAAUUUAUUUAAAAUUAAAUAUUUAAAUAUUGUUAUAUAAAAUUAUUAAAAUUAAAAUUAUUUAUUCAAUUUUUUAUGUUUUAGUGACAAGAAUAUAAUUUAUAUGCACCGUCGGUCUAAAGUUAUUUUACACAUGCGUCCAAUAAUAUAGUGACAAUUACAAAUAGUGGUCCCGUAUAUAUUUUUAAUCAAAAAUUAGAAAUAAAUUUAAUUUUAAUAAUUUCUUUAUUUUAUGAAAAAUAUUGUUUAUUUUUUAUUUAUAUAUUCCUGUUUGUAUGCGGUUUCAUCUUCUUUUUUUUCUAUAUUAUUUCAAUAAUUUUUUUAUUGACUAAACUUUCUAUAAUUUUUUUUCUUUCCUAUUUUUAUGUAUAAAUUGUUCUACUUUGUUCCUAUCUAUAAUCUGUUUUGUUCCUACUUUUAAGCAUAUCAUCUUUCAAUAUAUUUUUUUUCCUUUUUUUACGGAGUAUUUUGUUAUGUGUUUUAUUUUUGGAUAUUUUUUGUUAAAAAGAUAAUUUGUUAUCGGUUUCUUGUGGAACAAGACAAGUAUUUGUUACUAACUUUAUUUCUUUAUAAAUACUAUAUUCGACUCUUUCACUCCACUUGCACAACUUCUUCUUUCUGGGUGAGUUAGUUCUCAACUUCUCAUCAUCUCCCAAAAUUAUCUUAUUACUUCAGAUUCAGAGUAUAAUCAGCAUUUAUUCCCUAUAUAUCAUUUAUUUGUUGAAUGGAAUCAGUUUCAUAUAUACAACGCAGUUGCGAAAAUUAUUAAACUUUACCUAUGUGUUUCAGGUGAAUUGUGACUCUUUUCUAGUAUGGAUUGCAUAAGUGAAUUGCCCGACGAAAUCCUGUCUUAUAUCCAAACAAUGUUAUCCAUCAAAGAUUUGUUGAAAACCAGUGUACUAUCUAAAAGAUGGCGCAACCUUUGGGCUCUAAGGAGAGAUCUUCACUUUGAUAUCUUCCAUGUGCUUGGAAGCAGCGAGGAGGAACUACUACAAACUGUGAUUCCUACUAGUAGUUCUACUAUCGAGAGAUGUGUCCGUCUGGAUAUCGGUAUGAGUGAAUUUGUAAAACGAGUAGAUCAAUUUCUCAACAAUUUUCAAGGCACAAAGAUAAAUUCUUUCUUUGCGAGCUUCUAUUCAUAUGAUAAACACAGUAAUAUUAUUGAUCAAUGGAUUAGUUUUGCAAUUGCAAGGGGAGUUGAAACAAUCAAUUUACUCUUAUUACCAAUGCCUGAAACUUGUGCUACUCGAUACAAACAAUACAAGUUUGCCUUUGACUUGUUUUCGGAGACUAAUGCUUCAACUCUAAAGCAUCUGCAUCUCGAACAUUGUCUUGUUUGCCAUCCCACCAACCGUGACUAUAUUCCCUUUCAAAAUUUGAGAUUUCUUUCACUUGAAAGAACAAAGUUGGAUGAAAUGUUCAUUGAAAGUGUGUUAUCGAAUUGUCGAUGGCUUGAAGAGCUUCACUUAGUUUUAUGUGAGUUCAGAUCAUCAAUGCCAAAGAUAGUGAGUUCUUCCUUAAUACAUCUCAAGGUUGCAGGAUGCUAUGUUGUAUCUGGCUACGUCCAGAUGCAAAUAGAGCUGAGUUCAAUAGAUUGCCUUAAACUCACUUCAUUGGAAUACCAUGGAUAUAGUUUGGAUACCUUAAAAAUUAAUACCCCUUUGUUGAAGAGGAUUCAUUGCACUGUUUUUUAUUGUGAAGAUCCUAAUCAAUAUGGACUCUUUGCAACUCUUCCUCAACUUGAGAUUAUGCAAUUGGACAUCUAUUCAAUGGUUAGUCAUAAAGUGUUUGAUUAAAUUUCUGUCUUUUAAAUGAUAUUUUUUUUUAAUCUUACAUUUUUUUCUUGUUUAGGUCCCUACUUCUCUAAAAAUAACUCAACCAUUCAAACAUCUUAAGCAAUUGAACUUCUUCCUUUUCUGGCCUUUGGAUAUUGUAGAAGAAUCAAAGUUUGAUCUUUUGGGGAUUUUAACCAUCCUACGAGCUACUCCGCUUUUGCAUAAACUUUCGAUAAUGGUGAGUGAACAUGAUUAAUAUACACAAUUUAUUCUUUUUUUUAGGUUUGUGUUGUUAUUGUUUUGAUUUGAGUCAUGGCUUCAUAAAUUAAAUUAAUAACUUUUUUACCUGGUGACUGAUGCAAUUAAGAUCAUAUAGGUUUAAAAAGGUCAUGCAUAGUAAUUGUGUAUAUUUAACUCCUAUUUCUAUUUUUUUUUNNNNNNNNNNNNNNNNNNNNNNNNNNNNNNNNNNNUGGUAUGAAAUUGAGUUUGUUAUGAAUGCUCUAAGAUACGCCCACAAACUUAAGCGAAUAGUUUUGAGUCCUUAUUGGAGACAACAUGACUCAUUGGAUUGGAAUUCUGAUCCUACGUGGUUUCAAAAUAGGCGUCAAAAGAUUAGGGAAAAACUUCAAAGUAAAAAUGUAGUUGGACGAGAAAAACUUGUACUCAUAUAAAAUUGAGUAUAAUGUAUAUUUUUUUUUAGUUUUGUUGUAAUGAUAGAACAAUAUUAAUAUUGAUAUUCCUCAUAAUUUUAUUACUUGUAAUCAGUUAAAUAAUAUGCAUUUGACUACCUGAAUAAUUAUUUUUCCUAAUAAUUUCGUCCAGUUAAAUAAUGAUUAAUUUUGUUCUUGUUGUUUUUUAAUUUAAAAUUCAGUUUGAAAACUAAGUCAUUAAAGAAAUUACUAAAUCGAGUUGCAAACUACAUCACUCUUUUUAAGAUUGUUUACGGCAUUACACAAAUUUGUGCCACUUAAUCUUCAAGAUAAAAUAGCUCAGGUCAAACUAAUAUCGAAUAUCUGCUGCAUCGUAAAAAUCGGUCAAAAAUUACACCUUAUAUAUAGUAUAAUACCUCUCGAAUAUGACAUUAUGACCAAUUGUGUGUAUUGCGGCAGAAAAGCCUUGAAACAAUAGAAUAGAAAAGAAAAAAUAGAUGAGGUAGGAAUAGAGAGAAAAGAGAAUUCGAAAUUGCUGAAAUAUGAAAUAACUAGUAUAGACACUCGUGUCAAGUACGGCUAGAUUUUAUUUUUUCUUUCAUAAAUUUUAAAAAUAUUCUUCAUAUAUAAUUCUAUUUUGAAAUUAAUGAAUGUUUUAAAAGUGAAAAAUAGAGGGUUCGGACCCACGUCACAUAGCUGUUGUUCAUAAAAAUAUAAUAAUUUGAUGUGUUGUUCUUUUUUUGUGUUUUCCAUUACAUAUUUUAAUUUUUUAUAUAUUUUGAUUUGUUUUUUGUUCUUGUGCUCGGGUCCAGUUAUUAUAAUUUUUUUUUUUUUGUGUUUAGCUAAUUUUUCUUAUGCUAUUUGUUUUGUUUUUAGGGNNNNNNNNNNNNNNNNNNNNNNNNNNNNNNNNNNNNNNNNNNNNNNNNNNNNNNNNNNNNNNNNNNNNNNNNNNNNNNNNNNNNNNNNNNNNNNNNNNNNNNNNNNNNNNNNNNNNNNNNNNNNNNNNNNNNNNNNNNNNNNNNNNNNNNNNNNNNNNNNNNNNNNNNNNNNNNNNNNNNNNNNNNNNNNNNNNNNNNNNNNNNNNNNNNNNNNNNNNNNNNNNNNNNNNNNNNNNNNNNNNNNNNNNNNNNNNNNNNNNNNNNNNNNNNNNNNNNNNNNNNNNNNNNNNNNNNNNNNNNNNNNNNNNNNNNNNNNNNNNNNNNNNNNNNNNNNNNNNNNNNNNNNNNNNNNNNNNNNNNNNNNNNNNNNNNNNNNNNNNNNNNNNNNNNNNNNNNNNNNNNNNNNNNNNNNNNNNNNNNNNNNNNNNNNNNNNNNNUGUUCAACCAAAAAAUCAUACUCGAGUUCUCCCGAAUGAUUUCUCUUUUUUUUUUUUGCUUUCACCACAAGUUUAAUCUGGUACGGGGUCAGUUCUGGCAUCAAGUGGUUCCAGUCAUCUCCCGAUCGCAGUUGUGGGGAUCGAAUUGUGGUCCUCUCCAACCAAGUUCAACGUCAAUCACCACUGAAUCAACUAACCAUCGAUGAAUGAUUUCUCCUUUGUUGAAACUCGUAUAGUCCUUUUUCAUCAAACUUUCUCACAUCAAUUUAAAAAGGGUCAUGUUAACUUGUGCCCUAAGGGCACCUGUUAAGCUACCUAAAAAUAGAAAUAUAUAGUAUUUAAUGAUACAAAGAAUUUAAUGUUUAGAAAAUUGAAUACAACACAAGUUCAAUAAACAUUUUCCACAUUUAUGUUUUUUUUUGUUUUUGAAGAAGCUAAACUAGCCCACCCAAAUUAGCACCAGAUAAAAUCGAACCUCAGACCUCAAGUUCUUAACAUGUACCUAAGGCCACAAGUUAACAUUCUCCAUUUAAAAAUAGUAAUUAUGUGAAUUUAUUGUCGAUAAAAUUUUACAUUUUAUUUAGUUGGAUUGAUGAAAAGACUGCCACGUAGGAAUUAGAUUUAAAAAUAGUAGAUUUGGAAUAGAUUCUCGGAUGCGUGAUGUGACUUUUUUUUUUCUUUUUUUUUUUUUACAGUAGNNNNNNNNNNNNNNNNNNNNNNNNNNNNNNNNNNNNNNNNNNNNNNNNNNNNNNNCAGUAGGAAUUAGGAAUACAAGAUCGGUGCCGCUGCAACAUAUUCUUCUUCUUCGGUGAGUUAAUCUUCUCAAAUUUUUUUAGGGCAAAUAUAUUAUUAAUAAUAAUCAGCUCUAUCUGCACAAGAAGAACAGAGACGGUAAGCGGAACACCAAUAAAGGCGGCAUAUAAGCAGAACACCAAUAAAAAUAGCAAAAGAGUCUUAUCAAAAUUCUCUUAUAUAAAUUUUCUUCUACUUCAUAUGAUUAUUACUUUAGAGUAGCAGAAUUACUUAAUAUAUAUUUCAAUUUUCUCAGGUGCAUAUUGUGAGUCUUUUCUAAGAUGGAUUGCAUUAGUGAAUUGUCAGACGAAAUCCUAUCUUAUAUUUUAACAAUGUUAUCCAUCAAAGAUUUGUUGAAAACAAGUGUACUAUCUAAAAGGUGGUGCAAACUUUGGUAUCUAAGGAGAGAUCUUGACUUUAAUAUCUUACAUAUGCUUGGAAGCACUAGCAGAAAACCAUUAGAAGAACGUGGCCAUUUGAAUGUCAAUAUGGAUGAAUUUGUAAAACGAGUAGAUCAAUUUCUCAACAAUUUCCAAGGCACAAAGAUAGAUUCUUUCUCUUUGAGCUUCUAUUCAAAUGAUAAACACAGUAAUAUUAUUGAUCAAUGGAUUAGUUUUGCAAUUGCAAGGGGAGUUGAAACAAUCAAUCUACUCUUAUUAACAUACAACCGAUACAAAUUUGCCUUUGACUUAUUUUCGGAGACUAAUGCUUCAACUCUAAAGCAUUUGCAUCUCGAACGUUGUCUUGUUUGCCAUCCCACCAAAUGUGACUACAUUCCUUUCAAAAAUUUGAGAUCUCUUUCACUUUACUUUUCAAAAGUGGAUGAAAUUUUCAUUGAAAGUUUGUUAACUAAUUGUAGAUGGCUUGAAGAGCUUGACUUAGAAUUCUGUGAGUUCAGAUCAUCAAUGCCAAAGAUAGUGAGUUCUUCUUUAAGUAAUCUUAAGGUUAGAAAAUGCUAUGUUGUAUCUGGGAACAUGAAGAAGGAAAUAGACCUGAGUUCAUUAGAUUGCCUUAAACUCACUUCAUUUGAGUAUCAUGGAUAUAAUUUGGAUACCUUAAACAUUAAUACCCCUUUGUUGAAUAUCAUUUAUUGCACUGUUCCUGAUUGUGAAGAUCCUAUUCCUAAUCAAUAUGUUGUACUCUUUGCAACUCUUCCUAAACUUGAGAUUAUGAAAUUGGACUUCUAUUCAAGGGUUAGUCAUAAAGUGUUGGAACUGUGAAUUGUUUAAAUUGCUUUGUCUUUUGAAUCAUAUUUAUUUAAUCUUACAUUUUCUUGUUUAGGUCCCUAUUUUAAAAAUAACUCGGCCAUUCAAACAUCUUAAGCAAUUGGACAUCACCUUUUUCUUGCCUUCGGAUAUCGAAGAAUAUUCAGAGUUCGAUCUUUUGGGGAUUUUAACCCUUCUACAAGCUUCUCCGCUUUUGCAUAAACUUUCUAUAAUGGUGAGUGAACAUGGUUAAUACACACAUUUUAUUCUCUUAUUUUGUUGGUGUUAUUGUUCUGAUUUUGAGUCAUGGCUUCAUAAAUUAGGGUAAUACUUUUGACAUGGUGAGUUAUGCACUUAAGAUCAUAUAUGUUUGAACAUCCUAAUGUUCUUUUACAUAUUGAGUUUAUUGCACUUACCUGUCCAUUAUAUUUCCAAAUAUAGCCUUUGAUUUGAUAUACCUUUAAGGAGUUUAUCUGGAUAUUUUUAUUUGCAUUCAUCGGUAUAAGUUUAUCUCGGAUUUAACUACAGUAUUUGUUUUUUUUAGCUCACGCAUCCAGAGAUCGUUGGAAAUCAGAACGUUGUCAAGGAUGUUGAUAUAUGCUCUCAUGACGAGGUCAAAGUUAUUGAACUGAGAGGUUGUGUUGGCAAUUGGUAUGAAAUUGAGUUUGUUAUGAAUGUUCUGCGAUAUGCCCACAAACUUGAGCGAAUAGUUUUGAGUCCUUAUUGGAGAGAAUGUGACUCAUGGGAUUGGUAGUCUGAUCCCGUGUGGUUUCAAAAUGGACGUCAAAGGAUUAGUGAAAAACUUCUGAAUGAAAAUGUAGUUGGACGAGAAAAACUUGUGCUCAUAUAAAGUGUAUGAUGUUUGAUGAUAGAACAAUAUUUGUAUUUAUAUUGCUCAUAACUUUGUCUAAGAUCAACACAAAAUCCUUGAUCCCAAAAUUUCAACUUUGAGAAGAAUGUGUGAGGUGCUUGCUCUGAAUUUGUCGAGUUGAGUUUGAGUUCUCAGAUAGCCCUCUUUCACAGAGAAUAGUAAUACUUGAUUUUUUUUCUAGUCGUUCUUGUUUUUUCAUUACUAAGUUUUGAAUACCAACACAAUGCUUGUUAUUUAGAGUUUUCUGCUCAUCAAUCAUGAAAUUUUUUGUUCAUUUAGAAUUAUUGACAUUUUAUGGAGUGAUCGUUAUGGAUCCUGGCACACUUAGCAUUCAAUGGUGUUAAUUAAGUUAAGAAACUCUCACAUGUGCUUUCAUAUUUCAAGUCAUCUGAAGAGUAACAAACACUAUAUGUCUAUAUAUGUAUGGUGGGAAUAGAAAAGGAUGUGGAGUCUUGCGUAGAAAGAUAGCUUUUGUUUGGAUCGAUGGAAUGUGGUGAAAUGGGAUGCCCUGUGUAAAAACUUAGGUUUUGUUUGGAUUGAUGGAAUGUGAUGAAAUGGUGUGACGUGUAAUUCCAUUUGUUUGGAUUUUAAAAAAAUGAAUAGAAUGAAGGAGUAUAUGAUGACAUUCCAUCACAUUCCCUCAUUUUGGUUCCCCUCCAUUUUGGGGUAUACAUGAUGGGAAUCAAACUUCUUUAAAUCAUAAUUACCGAAUUAUAUUCAUCCAUUAUUUUAUAAAAUCUUAACUUUUCACCUUGUUUUCCAUCAAAGCCUUAAUUCAUACCCACCUCAAAGUUUAUUUACGAAAUUUCAAAGUAUCUUCCACAUUUUCCAUAGAGAAAUUAUUUUCCAUCAACUUUAUAAUUCUUUUAGUGGAGAAUAAUAGAAACAACAACUACCAUACAUUUUUAAAUUGAUAAAAAAACUAAUGUGUCAAAAAAAAAAUACAUACUAUAGGAAUCUUCCCUAAGAAAAUUUAUGACACUAUACAUAAAUUAUUUUAUAGUUAGCUUUAUCACAUUCACAGUGUUAUUUUGAUCAUUAAAUUAUAAAUAUUUAUAUAGUUUUUUUUUACUACAAAUAUCUAUUUCCAUUAACAAUAAUUUAUUUUUUAUUAGUUUAAAGUAAAAUAUAUUAUAUUAUACCAAUCGUUAGUUAAUUCGGUGGUGAUUGACGCUGAACUUUGUAGGAAGGAUCACGAUUCAAUCCCCGCAACUGCAAUCGAGUGAAAUCACUUGAUGUCAAAACUGACACCCGAACCAGGUUAAAUUGACGGUGAAAAACCAAAAAAAAUAAAUAAUAAAAAUAUAUUAUAUAUUAUUUUUAAGUCUAUAAAUCUACAAACGCAUUUUUAACAGAUGAGAUGCUUGUUUAUUAUAAAUAUCCAGCUCAGUCUUCGAUAAUGUACUGAUAUUCAUCCGAGUAAAACGUGUGCCGAAGCGAUGUUGAUUCAUAUAUAUCUUUGACGCUUUCACAGCUUCUUCUUCGGUGAGUCGGUUCUCUUAAAAUAUCUUAUUACUUUAGAGCCCUAAGAGUAUAUAUGGAUAAUUAUUUGUUGAAUAGGAAUCACUUUUAUACAAAAACCACCACUAGAUCUUUUUUUAAUCACUAGUACUAAAAUUGCUUAUAUUAAACUUUACUUAUAUAUAUAUAUAUAUAUAUAUAUUUCUCAGGUGCAUUGUGACUCUUUUCUAAGAUGGAUCGCAUUAGUGAAUUGCCUGACGAAAUCCUGUGUUAUAUCCUAACAAUGUUAUCCAUCAAAGAUUUGUUGAAAACCAGCAUACUGUCUAGAAGGUGGUGUAAGCUUUGGACUCUAUGGAGAGAUCUCCACUUUGAUAUCUUCCACGUGCUUGGAAAGAGCAAGCAAGAAGUAUUACAUCUUCCUAGUAAUUCUCCAAUGGAGAUACAAGUCCAUCGGGAUAUCAAUAUGGAUGAAUUUGUAAAACGAGUAGAUCAAUUUCUCAACAAUUUUCAAGGCACAAAGAUAAAUUCUUUCUUUGCUAGCUUCUAUUCAUAUGAUAAACACAGUAAUAUUAUUGAUCAAUGGAUUAGUUUUGCAAUUGCAAGGGGAGUUGAAACAAUCAAUCUACUCUUAUUACCAAUUAUGCCUUGUACUUAUGUUACUCCAUAUGAACCAUACAAGUUUGUCCUUGACUUAUUUUUGGAGACUAAUGCUUCAACUCUAAAGCAUCUGCGUCUCGAACAAUGUCUUGUUUGCCAUCCCACCAAAUGUGACUACAUUCCUUUCAAAAAUUUGAGAUAUCUUUCACUUUACCUUUCAAAAGUGGAUGAAAUGUUCAUUGAAAGUCUAUUAUCAAAUUGUAGAUGGCUCGAAGAACUUCACUUAUUUGGUUGUGAGUUCAGAUCAUCAAUGCCAAGGAUAGUGAGUUCAUCCUUAUGUUAUCUCAAGGUUGGAGCAUGCUUUGACAACAUUCCGAAGAAUAUAAAUCUGAGUUUACUAGAUUGCCUUAAACUCACUUCAUUGGAGUACCAUUCAUUGUUGUACGAUGGAUAUAGUUUGGAUACCUUGAACAUUAAUACCCCAUUGUUGAAGAGCUUUCACUGCACUGUUUUUUAUGCUGAUGAUCCUAAUCAAUAUGCAAUCUUUGAAACUCUUUCUAAACUUGAGAUUAUGAGAUUGGACAUCAAUUUAAAGGUUAGUCAAAAAGUGUUGGAACACUGACUGAAUUGUUUAAAUUUCUGUCUUUUGAAUGAUAUUUAUUUAAUGAUCUUACAUUUUCUUGUUUAGGCUCUUAUUUCCCUAAAAGAAAUUCAACCAUUCAAACAUCUUAAGCAAUUAAACAUCAUCAUUUUCCAGCACUUUGUUACUGUAGAACCUUCUGAGAUCAAUCUUUUGGGGAUUUUAAUCCUUCUACGAGCUUCUCCGCUUUUGCAUAAACUUUCUGUAAUGGUGAGUGAACAUGGUUAAUACACACAUUUUAUUCUCUUUCUUUUGGUGUGUGUUGUAACUGUUCAAAUUUUGAGUCAUGGCUUCAUAAAUUAAGUUAAUAUUUUUGACCUAGUGAGUCAUGCACUUAAGAUCAUAUAUGUUUCAUGUUUGAACAUCCUAAUGUUCUUUUAUGUAUGUAUUGAGUUUAUUGCACUUAUCUGACCAUUAUGGAAAUCUAUAAUCAAAAUCUCCACUUUAUUUCCAAGUUUUUUGUGUACAUUCAUUGGAAGUACUUUAUAUUUAUAGUUAUACAAACUUUUGUUAUUAAUUAGUUUAGAAAAUUUUCUUAUAUAUUUCGAUUUGCUCAUUGGUAUAAGUUUGUCUCGGAUUUAACUACUAUUUGUUUUUUUAGAUCACACGUCCAAUGAUCGUUGAAAAUCAGAAAGUUGUCAAGGAUGUUGAUAUAUGCUCUCAUGACAAGGUCAAAAUUAUUGAACUAGGAGGUUGUGUUGGCAAUUGGUAUGAAAUUGAGUUUGUUAUGAAUGUUCUGCAAUAUGCCCACAAACUUGAGCGAAUAGUUUUGAGUCCCUAUUGGAGAGAAUGGGACUCAUCGGAUUUGGAUUGGAAGUCUGAUCCUGUGUGGUUUCAAAAUGGACGUCAAAAGAUUAAUGAAAACCUUCGAAAUGAAAAUGUAGUUGGAAGAGAAAAACUUGUGCUCAUAUGAAGUGUAUAAUGAUAGAACAAUAUUAAUAUCGAUAUUGCUCAUAAUUUUAUUAUUUGUAAUCAUUAACUUUGUCCAAGACCUGAUCCCAAAAUUUCAACUUUGAGAAGAAUGUGUGAGGUGCUCUGAAUUUGUCGAGUUGAGUUUGAGUUCUCAGAUAGCCCUCAUUCAAAGAAGAGUAAUGCUUGUUAUUUAGAGUUUUCUGCUCAUCAAUCAUGAAUUUUUUUUGUUUUAGAAUUAUUGACAUUUUAUGGAGUGAUCGUUCCUGACACUUAGCAUUCAAUGGUGUUAAUUAAGUUAAGUAACUCUCACAUGUGCUUUCAUAUUUCAAAGUCACGUGGAGAGUAACAAACACUAUAUACGUAUGGUGGGAAUAGAAAAGGAUGUGGAGUCUUACGCAGAAAAGUUAAGCUUUGUUUGAAUCGAUGGAAUGUGGUGGAAUGAAAUAGUUUAAAUUUCAUUUGGUUUGAUAGAAUGGGAUGACAUGUGGUCCCGUUUGUUUGGAAUAAUGUGGUAGAAUGGGAUAAGAUCUUAACUUUUCAUCUUGUUUUGCUCAUAUGGUCUUAAAUAAUAUUUUUUUAAAAAAAAUUAUCAUGUGCACGACUUGUAGGGAGUGUAAUUGGACCGGUUUGGAUCGGUUUUUGGUGAAUCCAAUGUAUGAAUCAAUGAAUUCUCGAUUGGUUUGGUUUUUGAUGUUUUUCAAAAGUGAAACUGAACCAAACUAAUUGGAUACAUUAAUUGGUUUGAAGCUUUUUUUUUCGAUGUAUUACAAGCUGUUAUUUUUUUAUUUGAUAUAUAUUUUCUGCUAUUAUUUUUUCAAUCACACCGAACACUUGAUGUAAUCAAUCAAUUAUCACCAUACAUGAGUGGGAUGAGUAGCUCAACUAGGAGGUUCAAGGUGCAAGUUCUGAAAAAAAUUAACAUAACAUUGUAAUACUAACCACUAACAUUGUUUAUCAAAAAAAUAAAUUAUCACCAUACAUAAAAAAAAACAAUGAUUUUCAAUCAAAUGUUUCAAAAUUUUAUCGGAGUGUGUCAAAGCGUGUGACCGUAGCAUUAUUUAUUUAUUUUUUUACAAGUAACCCUAUUUUUUUUGGAUACAAGUAACCCUAUUUUUGUUUUACCGUCAAACGUAACCCUAUUUAAUGAUAUCAAUAGGGGCUUAUAAAAAAAGACGAAAGUAAUAAGAUGAUCACUUUUAUACAAACCGGUCUCCAAAACCACCACACUAGAUCUUUUUUUAAUUACUAGUACUAAAAUUGGUUUACAACCAACGAUUUUCACUAAGAUUAUAAAUUUCUUCUUCUUCACUUUGCUUAUAUUAAACUUUACCUAUAUAUUUUCUCAGGUGCAUUAUUGUGACUCUUUUCUAAAAUGGAUGAUCGCAUUAGUGAAUUGUCUGACGACAUCCUGUCUUAUAUCCUUACGAUGUUGUCCAUUAAAGAUUUGUUGAAAACAAGUGUACUGUCUAAACGGUGGUGCAAUGUUUGGUCUCUAAGGAGAGAUCUUCACUUUGAUUUCCUCAAUGUGCUUGGAAGAAGCCAGGAAGAAAUAUUAAAACCUAUACAUCAUCUUAGUAGUUCUCCGACGGGACACGUCAAACUGAGUAUCAAUUCGGAUGAAUUGUAAAACGAGUAGAUCAAUUUCUCAAGAAUUUUCAAGGCACAAAGAUAGAUUCUUUCUUUGCUAGCUUUUACUUAAAUCAUACACACAAUAAUAUUAUCGACCAAUGGAUUAGUUUUGCAAUUGCAAGGGGAGUUGAAAGAAUCAAUCUACUCUUGUUAUCAUACAACCAAUACAAAUUUGCCUUUGACAGCUUAUUUUCGGAGACUAAUGCUUCAACUCUAAAGCAUUUGUGUCUCAAACAUUGUCUUGUUUGCCAUCCCACCAAAUGUGACUACAUUCCUUUCAAAAAUUUGAGAUCUCUUUCCCUUCACCUUUCAAAAGUGGAUGAAAUUUUCAUUGAAAGUUUGUUAUCUAAUUGUAGAUGGUUGGAAGAGCUUCACUUAUUAGUUUCUUGUGAGUUCACAUCAUCAAUGCCAAAAAUAGUGAGUUCAUCCUUAUGUCAUCUCAAAAUUGAUGCAUGCUAUGUACCUGGCAACUCCCAUAAGCAUAUAAACCUGAGUUCACUAGAUUGCCUUAAACUCACUUCAUUAGAGUACCGUUCAUUCAAUGGAUAUAGGUUGGAUACCUUUAACAUUAAUACCCCUUCGUUGAAGAGCAUUUAUUGCAUGAUUAUUUAUUAUGAUGAUCCUAAUCAAUAUGCAUUCUUUGCAACUCUUCCUAAACUAGAGAUUAUGAGAGUGGAAAUCAAUGCAUGGGUUAGUCAUGUUCGAACACUAAAUUGUUUAAAUUUCUUUGUCUUUUGAAUGCUAUUUAUUUAAUGAUUUUAUAUUUUCUUGUUUAGGUCCCUACUUCUCUAAAAAUAACUCAGUCAUUCAAACAUCUUAAGCAAUUGAACAUCAUCUUAUGCAUGCCUUUGUAUACCGUAGAACAUUCAGAGUUCGAUCUUUUGGGGAUUUUAACCCUUCUACGAGCUUCUCCGCUUUUACAUAAACUUUCUGUAAUGGUGAGUGAUACACACAUUUUAUUCUCUUUUUUUUUUUCUCUUCAAGAUCCUCUGCAUUGUAAAGCAAUAUUCAAGAAAAUAAUGUGGUGAUCUAGAUUAUUAAUAAUAUGAAGAUCAAUGAUCAAAAUCCAUUUCCCAAGUUUUCAUUUCAUUGGUAUUUUAUAUUUGAGUUUAAUUGAUAUGCACUGACAGUGUAAAACAAUUUUACACCAUCGUCCAAUAAACAACCAUUAUUUUGUCAUACCAUAUCAAGAAAGUGGGGUGAUGUGACGGAAAACAUUGUUGGUAUUGGUUGAGAGUGUAAAAUUAUUUUACACCGCCGGUGCAUAUCAAUCAAAUCCUUUAUAUUUAUAUUUAUAGAAACUUUUGUUUUUUUUUUUGAAAAAGUUAUAGAAACUUUAGAUAUUUUGAUUAAUAUAUUCAUCGGUAUAAUGUCAUAAAGUUUUCUAUUUCUUUUUUUAGAUUACAGAUCCAAUGAUCAUUGAAAAUCAGGAAGUUGUCAAGGAUAUUGAUAUAUGCUCUAAUGAUGAGGUCAAAGUUAUUGAAUUAGGAGGUUGCGUUGACAAUUGGUAUGAAAUUGAGUUUGUUAUGAAUGCUCUAAAAUAUGCCCACAAACUGGAGCAAAUAGUUUUGAGUCCCUAUUGGAGAGAACAUGACUCAUUCGAUUGGAAUUUUGAUCCUAUAUGGUUUCAAAAUAGACGUCAAAUGAUUAGUGAAAAACUUCAAAGUAAAAAUAUAGUUGGACGACAAAAACUUGUUCUCAUAUAAAGUGUACAACGUCUCUCAUGUUAUGUUAUAUGAUAGAACAAUAUUAAUAUUGAUAUUACUCUUAAUUUUAUUACUUGUAAUCAUUGCAAUUGCAUUUCACUACUUUAGUUUCUUCCUUUCAUUGUAGAACUCCAAGUAGUAUUUGUUUGUAACAUGAAAAGAACACGACAGAAAACCUAAUACUCCUACAAAACAUUACUACAAAACAAGUAACUUAAUGCAACAUCAACAUAAAACUUGGAUAAAAUUAAAUUUUGUACAACUCUAUCCUCUCAAAGACCAUUUCCGUCGAGACCGAGACGAUCACUACAAAAACUUAUGGCACAACCGAUAGUUGAAGCCGCCCUGUCCAUUCCUCUCUAGGCUUCAAGUUCACACAGGUUUCUCUAUAACUGCCGCAUCUACACAAAGCAUCUGUUUAUACUCCUCUUCGCCAAACUUAUGCUACUCCAUACAAACCAUACAAGUUUACCGUUGACUUAUUUUCGGAGACUCAUCCUUCAACUCUAAAGCAUAUGCAUCUCGAACAUUGUCUUGUUUCCCAUCCCGCCAACUGUGACUAUAUUCCUUUUAAAAAUUUGAGAUUUCUUUCAAUUUAGUGGAUGAAAUGUUCGUUGAAAGUCUGUUAUCUAAUUGUCGAUGGCUUGAAGAGCUUCACUUAAUUUCCUAUGAAUUCAUAUCAUCAAUGCCAAAGAUAGUGAGUUCAUCCUUAUGUCAACUCAAGGUUGCAGGAUGCUAUGUUGUAUCUGGCAACUUCAGGAUGGAAAUAAACCUGAGUUCAUCCUUUUCUAAUCUUUGAAGACUAUAGAAGAUUCAAAGUUUGAUAUUUUGGGGAUUUUAACCAUCCUACAAGCUUCUCCACUUUUGUAUAACUUUCUGUAAUGGUGAGUGUACAUGGUUAAUACACACAUUUUAUUCUCUUUUUUUUUGGUGUGUGUUGUUACUAUUCUGAUUUUGAGUCACGGCUUCAUAAAUUAAGUUAAUACUUUUGACAUGGUGAGUCAUGCACUUAAGAUCAUAUAUGUAUGAACAUCCCAAUGUUCUUCUACAUAUUGAGUUUAGUGUACUUAUCUGUCCAUUAUAUUUUCAAAUAUAGCCUUUGAUUGGAUUCCUUUAAGGAGUUAGGAGUUCUAUCAUAAAACAUUAUCCCUUUUGCUUUUAGUGACUAUGAUUAUCAAUGUCUUACAAUACAUGCAAGUCAUGUUUCAAUUCAAAACAAAAUUGAACUCAAUAUUUUCAAAUCUUUUUGUGAGUCUACUUUGGAGUUUGGACAUGAAUCCCAAUCAAAUUGUUAAUCCAAAAAAAUUUCUAGAAAUUUCUGUAGUCAGACACAUUUUCUUUUCGACUUUAUAGUCGGUAACUAUUUUUUAUUUUAAUUUAUGACUUGCAUUAUCGAGGUUUGUAUACAACAUAUGAACUUAUUAUUUUGAACAUGUUUCUUGUUUUUACUAAAAAAAAUUGUCUUUUAACUAUGUUUGCAACAACUAAAUUCCAGAAUUUCUUAGAUAGUGGUCAGAAAAUAACCUCCUCUGCAUAAUGACGAACACUUAAAGCUCCGCCUCUUUCCUCUUUGAAGCAAUUAUUAGCGUCCAGAAGAUUCUUUAGUUUGUGGGAAAAUGUUAAAUCAGCAGCCUCGAUGAGAUUUGAUUCCUCAUCCAACAAAAAGAGUAGACUGAGAAGUUUCUGCACAUUAAAUCAAAAUGAACAUUAAUCAGACAACAUUUUUGUUUUAUCCUGAUUAAUGUUCUUUUUGCAGAUCAAAGGCACAUUGUUUGUACAGUGUUAGAAUUUGAGAACAAUCAAGAAUGCUCGGAUCUAUUUGAGAAGGUACUUAUUUGGUUUAGUUGUCUAAAUGGUUUAAAGUUAUUCCUUUUUUCUUUUCUUUUUUUGACUAAUAGAGUUAUUCCUUUUUUCCUGGAAAUUGAGCUUUUAUUGUAGUUGUUUCGUUCAUUUUUAGGAAUUAUCCCUUUCUAUUAAAUAAACCAUUUUGAUUUAAUGUACAGAAACCUCUCAGUCUAUUCUCUUUGUUGUUUGGGGAAUCAAAUCUCACUGAGACUGCUGAUUUAACAUUUUCCAACAAAUAAAGAAUCUUCUGGACGAUAAUCAUUGCUUCAAAAAGAAAAGAGGCGGAGCUUUCAGUGUUCGUCAUUAUGCAGGGGAGGUUUUUUUUUUACCACUAUCUAAGAUGUUCUGGAAUUUAGUUAUUGCAAACAUAGUUAAAAGGCAUCUUUUUAAUAAAAACAAGAAACAUAUUCAAAAUAAUAAGUUCAUAUGUUAUAUACAAACCUCAAUAAUGCAAGUCAUAAAUUAAAAUAACAAAAGAAAAGUUACCGACUAUAAAGUCGAAAAGAAAAUAUGUCUGGUUGCAGAAAUUUCUGGAAAAAAAUUUGGAUCAACAAUUUGAUCAGGAUUCACGUCCAAACUCCAAAGUAGACUCACAAAAAGAUUUGUAAAUAUUGAGUUCAGUUUUGUUUUGAAUUGAAAAAUGACUUGCAUGUAUUGUAAGACAUUGAUAAUCAUGGUCACUAAAAGGGAUAAUGUUUUAUGAUUGAAAAACUUGUGCUCAUAUAAAGUGUAUAAUGUUUUAUGAUAGAAUAAUAUUGAUAUUGCUCAUAAGUUUAUUACUUUUGUUUCUUCCUUGCAUUCUAGAACUCCAAGUAGUAUUUUUUUUUGUAACAUGAAAAGAACACGACAGAAAACCUGAUACUCCUACAAAACAUCACUACAAGUAAUUUAAUGCAACAUCAACAUAAAACUCAGAUAAAAUUAAAUUUUUACAAUUCCAACCUCUCAAAGACCACUUCUGUCGAGACCGAGACGGUCACUACAAAAACUUGAUGGCACAACCGAGAGUUGAAGCCGCCCUGUCCAUUCCUCUCCAGGCUUCAAGUUCACAGGUUUCUCUGUAACCGCCGCAUCUACACAAAGCAUCUGUUUGUACUCCUCAUCGCCAAGGUCCACCAUUGAUUUCGAUUUCUUCUCCCACGGAUUCCACACAGCUGCAAUUCAAGUAGAAACAAAUAUGUCACUAAUAUCAAAGAAAUCACAAUGUCCAUCUUCGUUUGUCAUAUGAUAUGAGUUGUGAACUUUUACCAAUAUCAGGGAGACCUUCCUUUUUUAUAAUAUAUGUUUGUUUCUUCUCAUGAUCGAUAACUGCAAUUAUAUUUGGAGAGCUAAGAUAAACACGAUCCACCUGCUCGGAACAAAGGAUCAAUUUUGAAAACCUCUUUAUUCACAGGCUAGGAACGCGGGCCGAAAAGGAAAGAAAAAAAAAAGCUUGACUUGUGUCGCAGAGCUAUAAAUAUGUAGAUGUUGUAAAGAUAAUAAAUAUAACCCUCAAGAUUUACCUCGGAUUCAAAUGUUAUCGCAUCUCCUUGUUCUGUAAAUCGUUCUUUUUGAAAAAGGUUGUCCAGGUAAUCAAGUGUCUCAAGACCUUCAAUCCUUAUCUCACUAUACAUAAUUGUUAAUAUGAGCUAAAUAAUCCAACAGUCAAUAAUUUGAAAUACAAGAAAAAGAUGGUUGGACAUCAUUUUCUGUCCUCAAAAAAGGAAAUGAUUGUCACGUACAAGAAAGCAUUAUCCAUACCUAAUGUCAGAAACCAAAAAGUGUGUGUGGUAUGCGAAUGAGAAACUAAAUGGCUUGCCAUUGAUAUUCCUGACUCGUGAUAUCAGAUUUAGGUCUCCGCCUGUUGUAAGAGACACUCGAAGGCGGAACUCAAAACUAGUACAAUUAGGUAAUUGUUAGCUUAUUGUGAUUUGAAAUUUGCUUCCAACACAUAGAGAAAAGUGGUAGGAAAGAAGCACAUCAAUACCUAUGUGGCCAGCAUUUCUUUUCUUCUUCAGAUGAUGAUUUGAGUAGCAGGUCUACAAAGGAUUUCCCAUUGGAAUCAUUUGCAGGCAGUGGAGGAGGAUUCUCAUCAAUUGCCCAUAUUUUAUUUUUUGCAAAUCCAUGCAGCUCCAUCGAUCCACAGUUUCCAAACUAUUAUAUACAAAUUUAGGUCUAAGAUGAGUUAUGCUUGUUAAAAUUUACUGAGAUUUGAGACUAAUAUUCAAACUGAAUAUACAUACUUGUGGAAAACAAAUAGGAAUUCCUCCCCGUGUUGCUUUCAGCGCCUUCGAAAUUGUCUACAAUCAAUUACAAACAAGAAAUGGUAUAUGACUGAUUGCUUUUUUACAAAGUAAAAUUGGUUAAAAUUCUAUAUUUCACACCAAACAAAUCCAUAUACAAUCUGAAAAUGUAAAAUCAUUUUAAUCAAAAGGCACACGCACCUUGCUACUUGUGAAUAGAAGUUCUUCCCCGUGCUCCUUGCGCCAUGAAGUGACCUGUGCUCCCUGUAAGCUUAUCUAAUUUCAAGAAAGGACAGUUAAUCCUAAUACCACAUUAAAUUAUAUUCAUAUUUAAAGUUAUAUGAUUGAUUUCAUCAAAUGUUAAAACCGAUGGGAAUACACCAAUCAACAAGUUCUUCUCACCUGUGCUGAAGCGCCUUGUGGAGUCCGAAGUACAACUUGACCAAUUCCAUUCUGGUCCUUUGUAAUUUCAGUUGCUGCUCUAAAGUCCCACACAGCUGCAGAAUGCCCCAUCUGAAAUAAUUUAGCUCCUAUACUUCUCUACUCUCCAAGCAAAAUUGAAUACACUUAAUGAAUUCGUUACAUGCCGAUGCCUACGGUGAAACAAACAACUGAAUUAGCUUUGUCAAUCAAAAGCAAAACCUUAAUAUCCAAUUACUCGUCUAAUCUAUCCUCACUGGUAUGAUUCAGAUCUAGUGCGCCCAAAAUCAAUUUUAACAAAACAUGAACUAUGAAUGUAAGUGAAAAUUUCAUUAAAGCUAUGAAAGACAAAAACAUAAACAUCAAAUUUGAACAUUUGGCAAUUGAAUAUCAAUCAACCUGGCACANNNNNNNNNNNNNNNNNNNNNNNNNNNNNNNNNNNNNNNNNNNNNNNNNNNNNNNNNNNNNNNNNNNNNNNNNNNNNNNNNNNNNNNNNNNNNNNNNNNNNNNNNNNNNNNNNNNNNNNNNNNNNNNNNNNNNNNNNNNNNNNNNNNNNNNNNNNNNNNNNNNNNNNNNNNNNNNNNNNNNNNNNNNNNNNNNNNNNNNNNNNNNNNNNNNNNNNNNNNNNNNNNNNNNNNNNNNNNNNNNNNNNNNNNNNNNNNNNNNNNNNNNNNNNNNNNNNNNNNNNNNNNNNNNNNNNNNNNNGACGGCUAGGUUUUCAAUAAUAUUAUAAUAGCAUUACUUAACAAAAUAAGGAUUACAAAAUAAUUUAUAAUAAUUCCUAAUGGACUACUAAACUAUUAACAUAUAAAGCCCAAUACUUAAAGCCCUAAUAAUAUUAUUAUCUAACAAAUAUAUCCAAAAUAAUAAUAACAGUUCCAUUAAGAAAAUGUAACUUAAACUCAAGACAAGACAUUAAUUGCAACAAAUGAAACUCCUAUUUAUGAAGCACUUACGUUAGCAAUCUUGAAUCAUUAAUUCUAAUAGAAACCACAAAUUGACACAAGGUCUUGAAUUAUAAUGCAUGAUUGCUGUCAAAUGAGUUCAGAAAUUCAAGCAUCCAAUGACAAGAAACAAUACCUAUUAUUCAAAAGAACUGCAACAAAACCAAAGGGGUGAGAGAGAAAGAACAAAAACAAAAAGUGCAGAGAUGCAUUAGAAACAAAGAACUAUAAAGUUGAAAGGUACCCUUUUCUUAGAAGCAUUGAUUCAAACACUAAACUUGCAAAUGAAUCAUGAAAAGAUUAAAACUUUCAACCAAACCAAGAUUGGAAAAACAAAAUAAAAAAUUACAGCAACAUGUAGUAGGUGGCAAUAUCAUGGGAAAAUGGGAUAAACAUUGAUUUGUAUAUAAAUUGGUUUCGUAAGUUGUUAGUAUUUUAUUAUGUUGGGAUCUAAUCUUAAGGAUUAGGACGUGAAUAUACGAGAAAUACGUACAAAGUACAAACACGUGUACAAACCGACAAAUAGUCUAACGUUUUUUCGAGAGAAAAUAGUCGAACGUUAUUUAAUCAUUAAUCAUGUAAAUAAUUUGAAUUUUUUUAAAAAAACUUGGUAUCCGGCGUUAGUACCGACUAAUUCAGGGGAUCAAUCUACCACUCACUUGCGAUGUCCCAUUUAAAGCUAGAGUUUUUUUUUCUCUGUAUGGACCAAUCUACCACUCACUUGCGAUGUCCCAUUUAAAGCUAGAGUUUUUUUUGCUCUGUAUGGACUUAGUCCACCGAAAUUGGCACCAAGAGGAAUCGAACAUGAGACCUUAAGAAAAACAUACUUCAAGGAUUCAAGCCAACACUACUAGACCAACACCAAGUGAGUUAAGAAUUUAUUUGAAAAAAUAAAAGUAAAAUAAUAUACACUGUUCCAAAGGUUUUAUUUUAAGUAGUUUUAGUGGAUAAACUCACAAAUUUAAAUGUAGAAAAAAUGUGGAAUCCACGGUUUAAAUUCUGGUCACUUUAAUGAUGUCUCUGGUAGUUACUCCCUUCGGACACAAAUAUAAGAAGAAAAAAAAACUGUUUAGACAGUGUUUAAGAAAUGAGUUUAAUGGUUGUGCACCGUCGGUGUAAAUUUUGUUUACACAUACAUCCAAUGACGCGUUGCCACGUCAUUUAAUGAAUGUGACACAUCAUGUGUUUUUAAUUACCAUACAUGAUGUGUCGGUAUAUUAUUGAACGCAUGUGCAAAAUAACUUUACACCGACAGUGCAUAUAAAUUAAAUUGUUUUGAAAAAUGUAAAAGUGAAAUAAAUGCGUAAAUAAAAUAGAAUUAAAUAAGGAUAUAUUGUGAAUAGUUGAUUAAUUAGUUUAAAAGUAAUUAACUUUUGCUUAUAAUAGUGACCAAAAUUUGAAAUAUUUUUUUCUUAUACUAUUAUUUAUGUCCGGAGGAGCAUCAUUUAAGCUACACUUAUGAAACCACUGUUUCAAAGGUUGAAAGGUACCGUAUCUUCCUAGUUUGGAGUGUUAUGUGACGGAGGCAGAAUUAUUAUAGACCGUUGAAUAAAAUUUUACUUGUGAAAUAAUUCAUAAACAGUUCCAAAAAUAAAAAUUAAUUUUUUUCAUAAAUUAACCCAUAAAAAUGUCAUUUUUGACUUAAAUUAUUGAGUUUAAUUGUUGUGCAUUGUCAAUGUAAAGAUAUUUUACACAUACAUCUAAUGAUGUGUUGCCACAUCAUUUAAUGAAUAUCACAUCAUGUGUUUUUAAAUAUCAUACAUGAUGUGUCAGUAUAUUAUUGGACACAUGUGUAAAAUAACUUUACACCGACGGUGCAUAUAAAUUAAAUUCUAAAUUAAUUCCUACAAAUAUUAACAUAUUUGGGCUAGAGCCGGGGCAAUUGCUCAUUCUUGUUGGUCUUAAAAACCGCCCAUGGUUGUUGAGAAGAUGUUUUUUCUUCCCACCUCCCGUGAAUCAUUUAUACCCCGCAAUAUUCCAAUUUUUCCCUUACAGAAAAAUUCGGUUCGUAUAAACUGAAUUUUUACUAGUGCAAAUUCAGAGUAAAUUUCGGUUUUUAGAAAUCAAAAUUUGUUUUCAAAGCAAAAAAAAACUUCGGUUUCUACGAACCGAAGUUUUUUCAAGGACAAAAUUUGAAAUUCAAGGGAUAAAAAAUUCACGGGGGAUGGGAAAAGAAAACAUCGGUUGAGAAUACUCGAUUCUCUCCUGUGACAGAAUGAUGUAUAAUAACUUCGGUUUCUACGAACCGAAGUUUUUUCAAGGACAAAAUUGAAAAUUCAAUGGGAUAAAAAAUUCACGGGUGAUGGGAAAAGAAAAUAUCAGUUGAGAAUACUCGAUUCUCUUCUGUGACAGAAUGAUAUUGUAUAAUUUCAGUUAUCCAUUUCAUUUUGAUCUAUAUAUAAUUAAUACUAUUAAUUAAUUGAUGUACAAUCAAUUUAAAUCAUCGAUGAUAAACAUAACAUGAAAGAGAUGGUUGGAGUGAAUUCAGAAUAAAUAGUCACAAGUUGUGUUGAUGAAGAAUCUUGGAGAGGAAGAUGAAAAUGAAAUCAAAAUUAAUUUUGAAUUUUAAUGGUACAUAGCUAUCAACAUCACACUAUUUCAAGGACAUGCGUAUUUGUUGAGGUUUUGGCUUUUUUAAAAAUGAGUUGUGGAAAAUGGAUUUGUUAGUGAAAUUUUGGACUUAUCUUUAAAAUUGUCUCUCUUCUUUCUACUUUUCUCUAAUGAUGGGAAACACUUGCCACUUUUUUUUACAAUUAUUUAUCACUUUCUUUGAGUGAAAUGUCACCUUUUUUUAUAUAUAAUAAUAAUAUAUGAAAUUUAUAUCGUUAGUUAGUAAUGACCAAUAAUAUCUAUUGGUCGACUAUAUGCACUGAAUUCUAUCUUUCUAAUCGAAUUUUUUCAAACGUAAAAGUUAUUGAUCGAAAUUGUAAUCACUUAUUUAAAGAGUUUACAAACCAAUCGUUAAUGGGUUUAGUAGUGAUUGGCGCGAAACUUAGUUAGGAGGAUCACUGUUCGAUCCUUAUAACUCCGAUUGAGAGGAAGUUGAAACCAUUUGAUGUCAGAACUGACCUCCGAACAAAAUUAAACUAAUGGUGAGAGAAAAAAAAAAAGACUGCAUUUCUUACCACUCCUCACUUUUUAAUAUACAUUGUUGUAAUUAUUGUAAAGAUAGACUAAAAAUAUGGUACUUUGAGAAUUUUUUUGCGUGACAACUAGUAUAUGUUUUAUUGAUGGCGACCCAUUAUUUGAAUUACUAAUACUCGUUUGGAAGUUGGAUAGACUUAUGUAAUCUACCAAAAUUUAAAGGGUCUUGUUAACAUGUGCCCUUAGGGCACAUGUUAAGAUAUACCAAAAUAGAAAUUUAACAUUUAAUGAUGCAAGAAAUUUAAUGCUCAAAAAGUCAAAAUGCACAAAUUAGCAUUUAAUAAUUUCUAUUUUUGUUUCCUUAACAUGUGCCUUAAGGGCACAAGUUAACAUGUGCACAAAGGGCACAUGUUAAGCUUCUAAAUAUAGAAAAUUGCAUUUAAUGUUUGAAAAAAAUUUAAUGUUUAAGAAGUUAAAUGCACAAAUUUCAAUGUAUUAUUUCUACUUUUGCUUCCUUAACAUGUGCCUUUGGUGCACAUGUUAACAUUUUCCUUUAAAUAAAUAGGACCUUAAAUUAAACAAAGGUGCAUGAGACAUUACUCUUUGAAAAAUUGAGUAAUUAUCUAACGAUCAGUAAAAAUUAAUUAUAAAAAUUUACUUUUAUUCAAUUUACAAAUUUACUUAUAUGACUAGUUUUAAAAAUGAAAAGAAAAAUCUUAAAAAUACAAGUAUGGAUCUACUCUAGUGGAUAAACGCUCUGGUUAUUCAGCCUACCUCACUGAUAUUCGACACGUGGUCACUAAUAUUACACUCAUCAAAAAUACCAAUUUUAAUCUUUUUAAAACUACACUCAUUCACCCUCAUGCGUUUUUUGAAUUGGUAAAUUAAUUUUAUACCGAAAUUAAAUAAAAAUUAACCAAGCUUGGAGCCUCUUCAGAUUCUGAUCUCACGAUUCAUGCAUCUCCCCCAGAAGACUUCUUUGACAUUCUUCGAAGCGACGCGACUGGAACUUUCUACCUUAGAGAAUAGUUCCCUUUUCUUUUUUUUUGUUUUUUUGUUUUGUUUUGAUUAGCCUUGUAACCAAAAAAAAUACAAUUAAAGUAAAAUUAGCGGAGUAAUUUAACCGGAUACACACAAUUACUAUUUAAUGAAAGUAUAAUAUCCUAUUUUCUCUUAAAUAAAACUAAACAUUUACUGUGCACAAGAUUUGCUAUUACUUACCUCAAAAAAAAAAGAUUUGCUAUUACUUACCUUCGUCUUUGAAUAUUCUCUUAAAAAAAUUAUCUCUUUUUAUAAGAUCAUUUGUAAAUUUUUAACCAUGUUAAUCAUGUUUAUCAAUAUAAUAUACUCAUAUUAUUCUAAUAUACUCAUAUGAUCAAUAAUAUUCUCCUAUUAUUUUUGUCAAAAAAAAUCAAUAUACUCAUAUUUUUCUACACUUCAUAAUAAAUACUUCAAUGUAACUAAUACUCUCACUUAAAAGAUAAACUUAUUGCAAAAACAAUGCAAAUUGUCAACAAAUAUAGUAUUACAAUCACUUUUUUUAUUUUUGUUAUUUUUAUUCAAAGAGAAUGUAUGUUAUAGUAAAAAUCUAAAAAUAUAUUAUACUAAAUGUUUAUCAAACAAUUAUAUUUAGAAAGCAUAUGGCAUAUGGAAUGCAAUGGAGACAAGGUGGAAUAUUUGUACUAUGAAAGUAGGAAUGAAGAUUCACAUGCAGGCAGCAGAUGCAAUGCACCGUACAGUACCAAUAACUUUCGUUUCUCUGUUGACUGUUGAUAUAGAAAGUACCUAGGGCAUUCCAAAUUUCCAAAAUAUAAAAUUUGAUUUCAAAACUUGAGUGUUUUUGAUGAAAAAUAAGCUUGUCUGCAAAAUGUAUUUUAACUUCUGUGUAUAAUUUAUACCAUAAGAUUUAUUAUUCAAUUAACUUUUUACAUAAAUACACUCAUACAAAUAUGCAAUUCAAGUGUACUUUCGAAAUUAAAUAUGAUUGUGUAACUAAAAAAAAUCAAGUGUACUUUCUCCGAUCUCAUAUAUAAGUAAUCAUUUGUUUUUCAGAUUUAUUAAAUAAUCGAUGUAUCUAGUCCAUAUUAUAAACCAGAUGCAUCAGUUAUUCAAUAAACCUGAAAAACCAAUACUUCCUUAUAUAUGAGACCAAAAAAGUCAAACAAUGAAAAAGGACCAAAAAAGCCAAACAAUGAAAAUUACAAGCCAGUCAAUGAAAAAGCCAUAAUACCUUUAUUAGACACCAUUAUAAGGUGCACACCAAUCAUGAAGACAUUAAUACACACCAUAUUAUGUAACAGUUCAACAUCCUUCUCUAAACUAAAAAUCUCUAGUUCUCUUCAUUAUACAAACUUUAGUAGUCAUCCAUAUUUGUCAAAUCUAAAUAGAAUAAAGACUUCUUUGUCCUAAGUAAAGUAACUGAUGAUCAUGAGCAAUUAAUUAGUUCUGGUUUUGAUGGAUUUAGAUACUAAAAUUCAGCUGAUCCAUCUCUCAGAAAACUGUUAGCAGUAAUUUUGGGUUUGUAAUAUGCCAAAAUUACAUGACUAUGGUUUUUUGUAUCAACCAGCAGCUACAGCAUCAGCUCUAGGACUUGUAUCUAGUAGUUGAUGCAGCUUUGCACCAGAGUUUGGUUUGUUGUCACAAUAACUAUUCUCAUCCUCCAUGGCUCUAUCAUUAGAACCUGAAUUGUUAUUAACUCUUGAUAAUAAGUUUUCUGUACUUACAGGUGUAAUCCUCUGGCUGUCAAUGCUGCUUAAAAUAAUCUCUUUUGGUUGUCCUAGUUGAGCAAUUUUGAAUUUUUCCUGAGUCAGAAACAAUGAAGUACUCAGCAUCACAGAAUAACACAACCAAAUGCAUAACAAAGAGAGGAAAUGUUAUGUGAACAGUACCUUCAAUGCAGCAUUUUCCAUCCUCAGUUUUUCAGAACUCUCAGCAAGUCGAUUUAUUUCUGAUUUAAGUGACGCACUCUCAGCAUUCAAGGAUUCAACUUUUCGUGCCAGUUCUUCGGCCUCAGCCUGAAAUGAGCAUAUAUGAGCAAUAGUCUCAAGCUUAUUUUGAGAAUAAUCUUUACCAAGUGUAUGACAAGGGAAGAGCCUGAUUAAUUUAUGAUUAUGAGAGGCAAUUAAAGAAGCAAUGGAUUAUUUAUACUAUACCUGCUUUCUUAGUCUUGACCUCCUAGCAGAUUCACGAUUUGAUUGUUUCCUCCUCUCACGUUUCAGUUCACGCUCAUUCUACACAUCCAAACGUACCAACAGGAAAUAUUUUGUCAGUAAGAGGAUGAGGAUAUGCAUAACCAUUACAUUGUGUUUCGGAUGCGUCUCAAAUGCACUAUAUAUGAUGAUUUGAGCUGUUAUGAGGAAUUAUAUGCUGAUCAUACCUGCAUCCAAGCCUCUGGAGGCAACACAGCAGAAGGUUGUGGGGCACUUGUUGGACUUGUUUUAGAUUUAACACUGGAAGGAUUUUUCAGCUCCAGUGCAGUGGUCAUCGCUGAAGAAACUACCGGUCCAACUGCCAUCAUCUUAUUAGAAGUUGCAAUUUCUUUGGAAGCUUGACUACCUUGUGUAUGAGUUUUGCCUUCUCCAUCAUCUGCUUAAACAGUAAAGAAAAAUGUAACCAUCACCACUGAUUAUUUUGAUAACAUAUUUAGGAUAUAUAACAUUUAAUCAGCAUAAAUUCCAGUAUCAGACGCCAAUAUCUAUGAUGUAUCAAGUCGGAAAUAAGGGUAAAAGCCCCUCCUUAGAGUCUACUACUGUCUGAAUCUGAUUGCAAAGUUAAAAACUUGAGCAAUACCCCUUAUGAGCAACAAUGAUUGGAUAUCGUUCAAAUUAUCAAAAUGCUACUCAAUAUAAUCAUUGGCAUCAUGUGUGCAGUGAUGAUGAUAACACAAAUAUAAUUGUGAUCCAAGGACAACUCUAUUGUUCAUCAAGAUAUAACACUUGGUGAAGAACAGAGUCAUACCAGUGGUUGGUGUUCCCUCACGGCUUCUUUUCCUUCUUGUUUGAUUAGCCUGAGUAUAAAAUGGGCAAAUAUCAUAAUUUAAUGGUUCAAUUUUGUAAAAUCAUUUGAAAUUUGAAAUAAAAAUAUACUGCAGGUGAACAAUUGCAUAUAGUCAACAUAGUUCAGAAUAAGAAUUGCAUUGCAAGCAAGUCCUCACCCCUGAAGUGUUGCUGUCACUUCCAUCACUUGAACCGUCAGUAUCCACGCUGUUCAUAUCAUCACAAAAUUACUUGGUUAGCCACAACAAAACUAUUUCAAUAAUCAACUUAUGGACCAAUCUUAUAGACCGAGAGGAAGUAGAGAGCAAUUGCAUAAAGAGUAUUGGAUUCCUUCCACCGAGAGAAUGUAAGAAUGAUAAAUAGAAUGUAGGUGUGUUUUUGGCGAACUUCAUAUAUAAAGAGAACAGAUCAACGAACCUCUGUGACAGCUUGCUUUCAGCUCCAGGCUCUGCACUCUCAGCAUGGCCAUUGCCUAUUGACAUUGCAAGGCCAUCGAACCCUUUCAAUUUCUUCAUCAAACCCUGAUCGGUAUUUCCAGAUGAUUUGGGAGGUGUCUCUAUGCUUAAAGGAGUUCCAGUCUACAUUGUUGCACCAAUUCCAACCGUUCAUAAUUUGAUAGCAUUUAUAGACUAGAGUAAGUACUGAUCUCAAAGAAAAUUAAAACUUACAACAGGUGAAGAUGAAAUUCCUUGACUAUGUGGAUGUGUCACCUAUAUUUCACAAACAUGAUUUAUAAGAUGGUGCAGAAAUUUACGAAAAAUAAAGCAUUCACGGUAAGAGACAAAAAAAUCUCUGAUAUAGUGCAUUUAGGCUUAAAAUUUAUAGCGAGUUUGAAGAUGCGUCGAGAUUAUCAAAGCACGGAAAGGCUAGUGACAGAAGAGAUGCAACUAGAUAAAUUUUGUAUUUUCAAAUUUUGUCUGUAUCGAUCAAUUUCAGUAAAAUAUGAACCAAUUGUGGUUCACACAAAUAACAUAAGUUCCAGUAACAAAAAUUACAAACUAUAAAUUAAAAGUAGGCUUACAAUAGGAACUGCAGGGUGAGUAUAAACCCCUCCAUGUGGAUACAUUGCUGCAUAAGGAUGUCCAUAAGGUGGCAUCAUAGGCUGCAAGAAAUAAUAAGUUGAAAAGUUAGUCGUUGAUUCAUGUCAUCUAGGGUAUAUACCAAGACAUAAAACAAAGAUUGGUUAUAUUAUAUAACAUAAUAAUUGAUGUCUGGGUUAUUACCUGUGGUGGCCCCCACAUAUAUGGGUGAGGAGUGUGACCAGAAGGCACAGGUGAAUUGUAGUAUGGUGGCAUGGCAACUCUUGGCCCAUAAUAUGCCUGAAGAUAUAGCAGACAAUUUAGAUCACCAUAAUCAGUUUCUAAUAGGCAUUUAUGUUUGUAAAGUUCCUAAGCAAACCAUUUUCAAGUAGAUAAAAUAUCAUAGUCUCUUACCACAAAGUAAACAUUUUUUGUUAGACGACAAAACAAUUAAGGCCCAAAGCAAUAUGUUACCCAACUAGGAGUCAAAAUCAGUACUCGGUAGCAAUUCAAGGCCUAAUUUCAGUUUGAUACUUAUUAAUUAGAGGUAAACAUCGUUCGCAACAAGAAACUAGAAUGAAUAGUACUUCAAUCAUUAACAGAUCUUGAAGGACUUGAAGGAAAAAUUUAGUAACCUGCAUGGCUGCCCAAUCAGGAUAGACAUGAAUAUUUGCCUGGUUAUUGGUCUGAUCCUGUUCAUAAGGUAAGCACACAAAAACAUCAAAAUUCAAGUUUUUCUACAAAUGCAUUCACUCAACACCGCGAAAGAACAGUAGAGCUCACCGCUGUUAAAGGUGAAGAAGGCUUUUCAGUCUUGGUAGAUUUCUCUUCCUCACUGGUUCCCAUUGCAAGCACCUAACCUAAUGAAAAAAAAACACUUUGGUCAAAUAUUGUAGAAAGAUCCUUUGCCGAUUCUUUAAAAAUAAAAAUAAAAAAACCUCAACCGCAUGAUUCCAACAAACAGUAAACAUAUUCAAGUAUUCAACCACAAACAACAUAUUUUGCAAAGUAAAAUCCUGAUUAUAACUUCAAAAGUAUAUUAAGCUAACAUAUUAAGCUAACAUAGAAAUAGCAUCAUAAAAGUAUAUUGAUUGUAAUCUCCUUGAUAAAACAUGCAUGGAUAAUUUUUCCUGUUUUCUAUCUCAAGCAUAACUUCAAGAAGAUAAUCUAGCACCCCUCUAAAUUUAUAAUCUGAAUAUAACUUCAAAAAUUCACACUAGAGUGAGUAGUGUAAGUAAACUAAGUAUUAGAUUUACACGUCAGAGAAACCAACUGAUCUAAACUCAACUCAUGAGACGAAGACUAACACUUGAAAAGCUCAUAUGAUUUUGUUUUACUAUGUCACAAAUACCUUUCAAGAAAGAUUGGAAUAUUAUUGGUAAGCUAGAGAUAAUUCAAUUCAAGGAAUAUAGAAAAAUAGUGAAAUCAUAGAGUUAGUCAAAGACACACAACUAGUGGAGGGUCAAUUCAGUCUUUUCCCCAAACCACAGGACGGAUAGAAAGAGAGAGACAUUGACAACGAGGCAUACCAAAUCAAAUCUACCCCCAACAAGACUCUACAAAAUUUAUAUGACAAAAAUACCCUUCCAUGUCAAUUUUCCACUUUCACUAUUUCACAUGCGUCAAGAUAUAUUGAUAAGAAAAAGUUAUUAAACUCCUGAAUUAGCCCUGAUCCAGUUUCUAUUCAGCUAAAAAAACUAAUUUAAAGCAAAUCAAAAUCAACAACACAUGAAAAACACAAAAACAUAUCCAAAACCUUAAAUUGAUGCAAAUUUAGAUCCAGAAGAGCCCUUUUGUCUGUUUAGCUACAAAAUAUUGAAUUCAAAAUAAAUUAAUAAACUAAACAAGAUAAUUUGAAGUGUUCUUUCAGUAACACUCAAUCAUGAAACUUCAAAAAUUCAAACUAGAACACAUUGAAUUUUCCUCAGACCCCAAAAUUAUAAAACAUUCAAAAUUAAAUCUUUCAACUAAAUAAGUAACAGAAUUUUAUAAAAAAAAAACAUACCUAACAGAAUAAAAAACAAACAAGGAAUAAAAAAAAAACAGUCCUCUCAGGUUGUUUGUUGCACCAAGUAUUCUCAACAACAAAAAAAAGUUGAAUUUUUUGGAGAAGUAAUUAAAGUGGUGUAGUAGAAUUAUGCAUUUUCUCUCUCUAAGAAAAACGAGGGAAAGAAAAAAGCUUUGUAUCUUUCUCUCUCUAAAGAAUGCUUUGAAACAGAGAAAAGUGAAGAAGAAGAAGAAGAAGAAGAAGAAAGGAGCGCGAGGGGGAUAUCCACGUCAUUAUACACGUGUCGUAUGUAGGAGUAAUCGUAUACAUAUACGGAGUAUUCCGUAUAUACGGUGUAUAGUUUGAGCUGGCUAUAUUAUUCCAACGUCACCAGAGCCGUACACGUGUUACAAAAAGAAAUGAUCUACGCGUCUAAUGUUAGGGGGUCCAACCUAGCAACACGUCCAUGUGCCCUUUCAGAUUCAUAUUAAUUAUUUAAUUAAAUUAAUUAAUUAUUGAUUAUCUGGCAAGAUUGAAUUGGAUUUUUCUAUUCAAUUAUUUAAUUCUAAAUUUGAAAUCUAAAUUAAAUUGAAUUGAAUAAGUCUUUUGAAAUCCACGAAUAGCCACUUGUACAAAAUCUUCGGCCACGCCUUGCAAACACUGUUUCUGAUUUUUGCUUACUUUUUUACUUUUUGAUUUUUUUAUGUUGAAUAUAUUAUUCUAGAAAUUUUUGUUUUCUAUUAGUUUAGUGACUAGAAAUUUCAACUUAAAGAUAAAUAAGUAGAAUGUUUGAAGUUUGAACUUGAAUUCCUAUGUAAUAUAUGUAAUGUUCCUAUCAAUUAAGUUAAACUCACCAGAACUACUAGAAUUUAAUUGGACACUGAUAUUAUUUAGUUGUAUAAAUGUUAUUUUUAAGAGGGUUUAUUUUGCCCUUUAAAAAUAUUGCGACCUGUAAUUUAUUUUUCUUUUUCCUUUUAUUUAAGAGUUGACUGGUUAUUCAAUCAUCCAAUCGGCUAUGGAGUGUGAUUUCAGCAAGCAAAUAAACCGAUGAUAAUUACUCAAAACGUUGGUCGAUAGCUGCUCAUCUCUCGUGUUCUCUCUCUCCUGUGAAGUGAUUAAUCCCCAAAAUGGGCAUGUAAUCCCUAUGGAAAAGCAUGUAUUUCAAUUGGAGUAAAUUUUCACCACCUAAUGGUAGUUCCUGCACCCCCUCCUCUUUCACCUAUCUAUUAACUCCCAUGGGGAUUUCGUAACUGAGAUCAUCGUGCAAAGUUAUAAAACUACUGUAUACCUCAAAUUAUUAUUUUUAAAUAAUAAAUAUGAAUAAUUUUUUGGUCCAAAAUAAAAAGAUGUGUAUUGUUACUUUUCACUUUCAUAUUUUUAAGUGAAUCUAAAUUCAGAUCAAAAUAAAAUGGGUAAUGUUCACAUUCAUAGAAUUCACUUUUUUAAUGACGUUUCACCUUUUUUAUGACAUUUUUUUAAGUGUGCGCACUUGGCAAGAUAUUUCUCCUUUUUGGACUUUUGGCUCUAACCUAUGAUUAAUCCCAACAAUUUUUUUAUAUCCAUUUUUAAAAAGAUUGAUAUGUAUGCUAUGGAAAGUUGGAGGUGGCAAGGUUGUCGUUUUUAUGGUUAAUGGUCAGAAACUACCAUUUCAUUGAAUUGAAUACUUUACUAACUUUUUCUUUAACUUAUGAAACAUUGUAUGUUUGCUCCGUAAUGGUGACAUGCUGACUAAUCCAAAAGUACACAAUACUUAAUUCCAUAUGGUUUCAUGAAAGAAUAUCAAUUGUAUUGGGUUUGGAUUUUUCUUUCUCGUAGUUUAAUUAGUAGAUAUAUAUUAUGUCUAUUCAUAUUUGCAAAAGAUUUUCGUUUAACUUUUUCAACUUUUCAUUUAAAUGAAAAAAAAAAAUUGUGUAAAAAGGAUUUUAGAUAGCUAUCAAAUACACUACUUUGCAACAAACACUUUUAUUGAAAUGGAUUUCACUGUAUAAUUGCAAAAUUGGGCCAAGGAUUUCACUACUUUCCUUUUUCUUUUUCUUUUUCACAAAGUCUCAUAUUCAUUUUACACGAACUAAAUGAGAUUGAUCAAGACAAAUCACAACAGAUACGAACAGACAACACUUGUAAGAUUUGCUGCCGAAAUCAAUGAUUUUUAGUGUCAAUCAAUGGGUUAGAGGCCAUUGUUCCCUCUAUCGUUGACGGUGAUUCUACGGCUUCCAGCAACAUAUCAAUAGUUGUGGUUUGUGUCAAGGUCUAUAGAUCUUCUAGCCAAGGACUUAUGUAUGUUAUCUUCUCUCUAAAUAUCACACUUCAACAUAUCUACUAAUUUGAACAUCAAAGUACUUUCAAGUACCUUUCACUUCAACAACAACCAUUCAGACGUGACGUGUUCAUGCCAAUCACUCUUUUUAAUCAAGUAAGAUCAUAAUUCAUAUAAAAUUCAACAAAAGAUUGUAAUAAAAGUUGUAUUUUUAGCAUAUUUCAAAGUUUGAGUAUAUCAAGUUUAGGAGCUCAAUAAAACAAAAGGCAAAUCUAUUAUGACUAUAAAAUGCUUAGAGAAACUACCAACCAGCAAGUUCUUGGUAUCAACAAACAUAUUUUUGCAUCGAAUUCAGACUCUUUGAAAGAAUACGUUUUUUUUAAGGAGAACUAGUAAUGGACUCGUGCUAUCGUAUAGGUCGUAACGUUACGACAAUAUUUUUUAAGUUAUAGUUUGGUAAUCAAAAUUCGUUACAAUUAUAAAUACUUAAAUUAAAAGAAACAAUUACAUAGUUAGAACUUGUUUCAAUCACAUCUGAUAAUUAUUUUGAAAUUUUUAUCAGUGAUAAUUUGUUCCGUAUAUAAUAGUUGAAAUUUAUAUCAGUUAGAAUUUAUCCCGUAUAAAAUAGUUUUUUUAAAAUUUUUAUUAGUUAGAACUUGUCUCAUGAAUAAUAAUUAUUUUGAAAUUUUUCAAUAUUUAUAAUUGCAACCAGCACGUUUUUCAGACUCUUUUAAAAAGUAUAGGACGAUUCUCUUUGAUGCCAAUUUGGAUGGGUAAUUUAACUUUAAAAAAAUUCUUCAUAUCAACAAACAUAUUUUUGCAUAGAAUUGAGACUCUUCCAAAGGAUAUAUUUAAGUAGAAUUUAUUAGUCACCUAGUUAGAUUUAGUAAACUAAAUUUGUAAAUAAAUUGUAUGAAAUGGUUUAAGAAGCAUCGAGUCUGACAUGAUCCUGCUAAUAUAGAAAUAUAGCACGUUGACACCACUAUAUAUUUAUAAAAAAAAAUCUAAAUUGUGAAUCGUAAUAUAUACAUAUGCAUUAAAGUUGAGCAAAUUAUUUCUUUAAAAAAAGUUUUAAAACAAAAUACGAUAGUAUUUGUUUGACCUUUAUUUAUCCAUCUACUAUAAAAAAGCUAAAAAUAUUGCAAUCAAAUAUAAUUUUGUAAUCCCUCAUUGAUCAACAUUGUUGUUUGGACACAUUUAUAAUCUUUGGAGAUAUGUCUAAUAUGUUUCUAAGAAGAGUAGAAACAAAGAAAAAUAAUUUUUUUAGGACACUUGUCAGACACGUGUUGCAUGAGUGUCUUAUAGGUGUCGAACAUGAACCUCUGGAGUGUCGGAGUAAAGCAAAAAUAAUUAUUUUUGGACACCUAUUUGAACUUUUCAACACGUGUUGGAUGAGUAUCAUACGAGUGUCGAAUAGCGAUACGUAUUCAAAAGUGUACGUGCUUUACAACAUAGUUUAAGAAUCAUUGAAUUUCGGAAGGAAAAAAAAAAGAUAAGGGUAUUUAUGGAAAGAGUUUAAUUGUUGUGCACCGUCGGUGUAAUUUUUUUUUACACAUACAUCAAAUGACGCGUUGUCACAUCAUUUAAUGAAUGUGACACAUCACGUUUUUUAAUUACUAUACAUGAUGUGCCGGUAUAUUAUUGGACGCAUGUGCAAAAUAACUUUACAUCGACGGUGCAUAUAAAUUAAAUUCUUAUGGAAAAGCCCUUGGAUGGGUUGGACAACGGAAAAGCAAGGUUGGAGCACGUGGCAAAUGGAGUGUCACUAUCGUCAAAGUAGACACGUCAGUCAAUAACCAACGCCGGCCGUUGAUUUGAAACGCAUUUGACGGUUAUGAAAAUUUAAGUGACGUAAUUGGUUGUGUAUGUUGUUUUGGUGUGUACACAUAGGGGUGGACAGGACCCGCUGGACCGAACCAAACCGGUCUAACCGAACGGGUUUUUCUUCUACGGGUCGGGUUUAAAUGGUCGUCGGGUUCAAAAAAUGAAAAAAACAGGUUGAAGUGGGUUCAUAUGAUCGGGUUCGGUUUUUAAAAUUAGACCCAUCGGUAUCCGAACCGACCCGUAAUUAAUACUGCAUAUUGAUAUUUAAUGUAUAUAUAUGUAACGUAAUAAUCCAUAUCUUCUAUUUACGAUGCAGCUAUUUAUAUUUAUAAUAAUUCAUAAUUACAGCUGUUUUCCAUUCCACCUUAUUGUGUUAAUUUAUUUAACAUUGAAUACUAGUUGUAAUAUUUUCCUUUUAAGACUCCGUGAUUUAUUCCUUGGACCUUUAACACAAAACAAUUGAAUCUCUCCUUCUUUUAUGAUAGGUUGCUGGCUGCCAUGCUCUCUACCCUAAACAAUCAAUCUUAAUUUUGGACUUGUAUCUUCUCACCUCCUCUUUUCUCAUCUUCAUCUUCUUUUUUUCCUUCAAAAAUCUCAUAUGGUCUUAUUUCUCACUUUUAUAUAUUUAAAGAUUUUUUUUUGCAGAUCUAGAUCAGCAUAUCUAAUCUGUUAAUACCUGGAUCUACCCUUUGUUGCUUAAAAACUCAUUCAAUUUGUUGAUACUAAUUUUUUAUUUAUUAUUAUGGAUCUAAACUUUUUAAUUGGAUUUUCUCUGAAUUUGAAUUGUUACCCGUGUGAACCAUCCGUACACCCGCAUCCUUGCUUAUCUUGCUCAUUUUCUCUCCGCUGCUGCUUCACAUGCCUUAGAUAGUUAGAUCAAGCUUUAGAUCUGUUUUAAUUCUUCUUAUUCUUCUUCUUAAACAUGUUAAAGGGUGUUUCUAAGAUAAUAUUUCAUAUAAUUGUAUGUAGCUCCAUUUAAUGAUGUUUCCGGAAUUUUUUUCAAUUUUUUCUUUGUUGAAACUGUUUGAAUCCAUCCGCUUGACCCGAAAUCCGUUUAACCCGAACCCGAAUAACCCGAAACCCCAAAAUAGUUUGAUAUGGACGUGUAUUUCUCACCCGUGGAUUAGGCCGGGUGGAGCUUUUGGGCCUAUACCGACCCAACCCGGCCCGUUGUCCACCCCUAUGUACACACACCGACAAUGAUAUUACGUGUCCAUUAGCAACACACGCAAGCCAACGUGGGACCAGUGUACGUGGACCUCUCUCUCAACCAUAUCAUCAACUUACUUUACUCCCACUUUCUUAUUUUAAAUUAUUUUUUCACACCAUUUUUUUAUUUUUUUAUUUUUUUGCAAUAACAUCAUUAUUUGUUGUACACACACUUUCGUUUCAAAAAAGUUGAAAAAAUAUGAUUAAUGUUAGUUACAAUAACAAUGAAAUAAAUUAGAGAUGAUACUUGGAUUUUUUUUUAUAAAUAUUUUAGAUUCAUCAUAAAGUAAAUAAGUGGGAUAAUCGAAAUUUGAACUCCAACUACCUACAUAUAUAAUGCAUUGUCAUUGCCAAUUGAAUUAAGUUCAAGAAAUUAUACUUAAAAUCAUAUUCCAACAAAUUUGUUGGAAUAGAUAGGUAAAAAUUCGCAUUAUUGUUUUACAAUAGUACUGAUAUGAGUAUUAGUAACAAAGAUGAUGUAUAUUAUGAGAAUGACAUAGUUAUAUAAGAAUAUGAUAAUUAAUCUUAACAUACGUGGAUUAAGUGAGUUCCGGCCUAUCUUUUUUUAAUUUUUUUUUUACCCAUUUUAUCGCUUCUUCCUCCUCUCUCAUUUUCUCAUUGUAUCUAGGGUUGGAAACAGGCCAAACUUUGAUAGGCCUGAGCCUGACCUACGAUUUUUCUUCAGGCCUGAGUCUGACUUACGGUCUAUCAAAUGUUAUUUUUUUUGUCUAGCCCGAGCCUUUUUAAUGUCUGGCCUUGUAGCCUAUUUAAAAGUUUGUGUUACAUAAAGGCCUCUAUAUAAUCUUUCUAAAUAGGCUAAACGGACCUUAAAAGCCUAUUUCACAUUUAAAUUUUUAUGAUUUCUACAACAUUAAGAAAAACUAGUAAAAUAGCCAAUAAAGUAACAAAUAUGAGAUAUGGAGGUAGGGUUUCUAAUUUCUAUUUGUUUGUUGCGUGAAAUAUUACGUCUAAAUAUUAUUUUUUUGUAAAAAAAUAAAUAUAAAUAAUAAUAUUAUAUAAAUAAUUAUUAUUGUUAAAUAUAAAUAGGUCGGCCUAUCAGGCUUUGUAGGUUUUUUAGAAGUCUGAGCCUGACAUAUUUAUGUAAACAGACUCUUUUCAAAGCAUAAGCCUGAUAUUUUUAAUAAACAGGUCAGGCUGAAGACGCUUGUAGGCCGCCUUACCUAUUCUCAACCCUAAUUGCAUCUCACGUUCUUCCUCUUUUUGCCGUGAAUUUCACUUCCAAAUUCAAACUUUCUUGUCGUGAGAUUCUCUUUUCGACAUUGUUGUUCACCGUUGAGAGUCCAUUUGCUGUCGUUGGUUGCCGUUUUUCGCCGUGUGGAUUUCGCCGUGUCGGUUGUUUUUACGGUGUUGUUGUUCUCCUGUUGCUUUCGUCGACGUCGUUGUUCGCCAUUUAGCAUUCACAGUCAACGUCGUUGUUUGCCGUGUCGAUCGAUUUUAUCGUGUUGUUGUUGUUCGAUGUUGUCCUCCUGUUGCUUAUCGAUUCAUCGUUAUUGUUCGUUGUUGCUGUUAAAGUAUUCACAGUAGAAAAAUCGACAAGCACAACUCUUUAAGGGUUUUAUUCUUCAAUUGAAAUGAUUCAUGUCACCGUCAGAUUAUAAAAUUUAAUCUUUGAGCACUUUAUUUUGUUUGGAAUCUGUUUAUAAUAAUAGCGACAGUAGAAAUUGGCAACACAAAUUAAAGUGACCGGAAGAGAUGAAAGAAUUUAUGUUGCAGCAAACCCCUUCACUAAAUAAGAGACAUGUUAUGUAAUUCGAUUUUUAUUUCUUUAAUUUGAAGUUCCAAAUCUGCAAAUGGUCAUGGUGGUGGGUUGGAGAAGAUGAAGUGUAUUGGUUCAUGAGAUAGGGAAGAGAGAAAUAGUGAAGAGAGAAAUAAGAGAGAAGAGAGAUGGAAGAGAAAUUGGAUAGAAAUUUUAUAUGGUUUGGAUGAAUAGAAAAGUGAGAAGAAAUAAAUUAAUAAAAAUGAGAAAAUAACAAAUUUACCCUUUUCUACAAGAAAAUAAAUUAGUUGAAUGAGUGUAUUGUUGUAAAAUUGUUUAUUUCACUUCUUGUCACACAAAUCUCUCCUAAUAUGGAGAGAUUUAUUUUUGGCAGUUAUUAAUCAUUAUAUUUCUCUCUUUCCUUAUUUCUCUCAUCAUCCAAACCAUAGAAAUAACUAAUUUCUUUUCUAUCUCUCUCUUUCUUAUUUCUCUCUUUAGUAAAUCUACCUAAACAAACACAGUGUUAAUCCAAACCGUCUAUUUUUAAUCUAAUGAUUAAAAUUCAUUUUCAUAUUCUCAUAUAACAAUAUCAUUCUCAUAGUAUACAUAAUCUAGUAACAAAUACGUGUUUGGUGCUCAAAGGGUACGAAUACGGGGCUAUAACUUGAGCCCACUACUUCUUGAAUAUUUUUUUUUCUACCCCUACAUUUAUCUCUCUACCCCAACAACUAAAAUUGAAUGGACGAAUAUGCCCUCAUAUAUAAGUUAAAAAUGUAAAAAAAAAUUCAUUUGCUUUACAAAUCAAAUAAAGUGUGCCGGUGUGAGUAAGGAGACAAAGAGAGAGUAAGUCUAAAUCUAACGUAUCGGUACACUUUUUUCAAGUGUGCUGGUUUGAAAAUUCUACCGGUACAGUCGAAAAAAAGUGUGCCGGUAUGAAUAUUCAUACCAACACACUUGUAUAUGAGUGUUCCGGUAGCACAACUGUACCACUACAAUUUUCAAACCAGCAUACUUGAAAAAAGUGUACCGGUACUGCCACUAGGAUCUUGCGAUCAAUUAUAUUUCGGAUUUGGUAGUACAAGUUGACUCUUUCUUUAUUAGCAGUUCCUCACUACAUGAAUCUCUUCAAAACUUGGUAUUCCCUAUUCAUGAAUUUUGUUGUUUGGGGAUUUAAUCCUUUUGGAAAAUAUCAAGAGUAUAGAGAACAAACUGACAACCGAAAAGAAUUUACCAAUUCAGAAUCCUUUGGGAAAAGAUAAGAGCGAAGAAUUUAAGGCCAAUUUCAAUUUGCCAAAAUACAAUUUAACAAAGAUGAGUGUGGUGGUGUCGUAAUUCUCUAUUUCUACCCAAUCUCUAAAAUACAAGAACAUUAAAUUUGUGUAACACAAAACACUAGAUGGUUGAAGACGUCAUACACUUUUUAAAAGUACCGGCACACUUUAGUAUAAAUAGUAUAAGUAAGUAUACCGGUAUCAAUUAAAGUGUUCAGUAUUAAAGUACCAGCACACUUAUAUUAAAGUGUACCGGUAAAAUUAUAGUACAUCACUCAAAUUAACAUACCGGAACAAUGUCUAAGGGGUAGAAGCAGUUUACCGAAAAAAUUAUAAAAGGACAAAUUAAAAAUGGUAAAAUAUAUUUAGAGUAACACAAGGGUAAAAUGGAAAUAUUUUAAAAUAUGUUGGGGUAGAGAGAUAAAUGUAGGGGUAGAAAAAAAAAUUUCCCUACUUCUUUAUUUGUUAGUGGGCUUAACCCGUUUUAUAACUUUAUGUUAAGUUCAAAUUAAGGCAGAUAAGUUUACUUCAUACUCCCCAUUCAUAUUCCCACCUCCUAAAUCAUAUGAACUACUUCUAUCCUUAAAUAAAUAAUUUUUUCCCAAAAAUCACACAUCCCUAACAUAUUAAAUUACUGGAAGUUUAAAAAAAUAACCUUUGUCAAAACAAAAAAAAAUGCACCAAAGUAAUUUGAAAAAAAAAAUUGAGUUCUAGAUUUUAUCUAUCACUGUAAGUCAAUUUUUAAAAAAGAAAUCACAAUUCAAUACGAAGUUGUAGAUCACUUCAAAAAUGAAAGUUCUAAUAUAAAUAUUCAUACCGGAAAUUUCAUUUUUAGAAAGUUCAGUUUUUUUUUUAAAAAAUCUUCCGAUAAUUUUAUAUGCCGGGAGUAUAUUUAUCUAUCCGGAUGCGAGAAAAAUAUUAAUUGUGAAAAAAAAAAUAUCUAUCCAGGUGAGAUAAGAAAAACAUUAUUUUCUCCACCCGGAUGAGUAAAUUUUAGGAGGUGUCAGACACAGACACGACACCGAUAUUUAUAAUUACAUUAAAUUAUAUCAUAUUUUCAAACAAUUAUCAUCAUCGACGUAUUAGUGUCCGUGUUGUAUCUGGUGUGUGUAAGAAAGUUGUAGAGAGAAGUAAAAGUAGGUCUCAACUUGCAUUUUGUUGAGUAGUCCAAACUUGCACAUAAAAACGUUUGAUUUGAAUUUUUGUUGAUUUAAUUUCCAAUAGCUAGCAAGCAUGUGAAAGACUGAAUAUGGAUCCAAACAUAAGAUGCUUAAAGUUGGCCCCUACCACCCAAUUCCCAUGUGUGGGUAACAUUUUGAAUACAAAUUCAUCAUAAAAGAAAUUUGAAAUAUUCAUUGCUAAUUAAGAUUCCAACUAAAGUUAAGUAAAAAUCACAAAGUAAACAGAAGUUAAUUAGUUAAAAUCUUUGAUGUUUUUAUGUCUUCCUAAUUAAACUGAGUCUCCCUUAUGAUCUAAGAACAUGAUGAUAUAGGUGUUGAAACUUUAUAUAUAGUGCCACUGCAAUACCGACACACACACAACCGUGUGAACCUUAUCUCAAACAAAACUUAUUUGUCUAAAACACUACGCAAUAUCUAUACUUACAAUACCUCCAUCACCGUCCAAAAUGGUCACUUUUGUCAUGUGUUUGAUCCUUAACAAAUAUUGCAAAAUGAAUGUAAACAUGAAGUUUCCAUACUAGUAUAAUACUGCUUCAUUUUUGAAGUGAUUUUAAGGUUCAAAAAAUGAGUUCAAAGACAUUUAUGAAUAUGUUGUUGUUCAUUUUCACGUUUGUGUUGCCUUGUUUGGUUGGUUUGAGUAAUGGUGAGUGUGAUUUCGAGGCUAUUUUCAACUUUGGGGAUUCANNNNNNNNNNNNNNNNNNNNNNNNNNNNNNNNNNNGCUUCAGAUGGCAGAUUAGUUAUUGAUUUCAUUGGUAAUUCAACAAUCUACAUUUAAUCUUUUACAUUACCCUAAUGCUUUUCUUUUAGCUUCAGUGAAUACUAUGUUAAUUUUUUUUUUUACUUUUCUUAUGAUAUCACUCUUUAUGAUUGUGGAUAUAAAGUCAUGAUUCAUGAAGGUUCUAGCUUCUGUUUUUUUUUUUUAUUCUUUUCUCUUUCUAAUCUACAACAACAGAACCAUAAGGUUCCUUAAUUAUUGUACGAUGUACAUUUUGAUUGUAGUUAACAAUAUUUUUUCUAAUAGACAAAUUAGUAUAUUAGAGAACCACUUAAAAUGUGUUGAGUCAUGAGAGAGUUCGAGAAUCAUCACAUUGAGUCUUGAAUAACACAUAAGUGAGUUUGACACUGCAUCUUAACCCAAAACCUUAAGACAAUUAGGUUUAUGGGUCCUUUCACUUAUAAAGUGUUCAAAAUCUACUUUUCCAUCCAAUGCGAGACUAAACUCGCACUUGAAAUAUAAACAAAAUGCAGUCAGGGGCGGAGCUAUUAAGGGGCUGGGCAGGGCCAUGGCCCGCCCCAAGUUUAAAUUUUUUCAUUUUUUAUAGGUAUAUAUACAUGUUUUUAGUUUAAGAGUAUAGUAUAUAUAUUUAUCGUCGCAACAAAUAGAGACAUGAAGUGAAGUAGCGCAGUGGUAAACACCCAUGUUUGCAGCAUGAGUGACCUGUGGUCAAUCCCCAGCCAUGACAAUUUUCUUUCUAAUACUAUUUUUAACAAAAAAACACUACAAUAUUGCAAAAUGUGAUAUUUGAACUCUCAUUUUUUUUUUUUAUUUUAUAAUUGAACCCUCAUUUUGCAAGUAAAAUUAAAAUGAAUAAACUAUUAUGCCAUUAAAUGAUGAAUAAUGCAUUACGGUGGAAAAUUAUAUAUUUAAAUUGCAAAUAUGAGCUUCUAUCAUUUUUUUUACAAACACGGCCCCCUCCAAAGAAAAAACCUAGCUCCGCCACUGAAUGCAGUGCCUUAAGUGUCCCCUAAUAUUUAUUUGCAAAUCAUACAAUCUUGCAGAUUGUGGAAAUUUUUCCUAGUAUAAAAUCAUUUGCAUCUAUUUAAUAUUUUCUUCUUAUUAUAAAACACUCAAGAUUUUGCCUGUAUUAUGUUUGUACCUUUCUGAAUCUUUAGGAUAGUUUUCCUUACAAGACAAGAAACCUAGCUGGAAAUAUUUGUAUAGUUAUAGAUAGUCAAUAAUAUAAACAUUCAUAAAUAUGCAUGACAUAUAUUUUGUUGUUUCUGCUAUACUGACUCAGAAGCCAAUGGCAUUUUCCUCCUCACCAUUAAUUUCAACUUUUAUUUUUGUGGUCCAAAAGAAAAGAAAUAUUAAUUCCAUAAACUAUUAGAAUUGGUUGUAUAUCUUAGUCUGUACUUUCAUUCAUUUUGUAGUUGUGUAUUUUGAAGUUUGAACAACUAAAUUUAGAUAACUUUUCCAACAAGUUUUCAAGCGGUUAGCACAAUUCAAAUAGGUGAUUAAUUAGUUCAGUAGACGGUUAACAUAAUUUCAUCAACCAUAGAUUUGAACUUAAUUUUAUUUAUUUGAUUUGGCAGCUCAAGCUAUUGGAAUUCCAUUUUUGAGUCCAUAUCUGCAAUCAAUAGGAUCUGAUUAUCGACAUGGGGCCAACUAUGCUACAUUGGCAUCCACUGUGCUUCUUCCUAAUACCUCUUUGUUUGUCUCUGGGAUCAGCCCUUUCUCUCUUGCUAUUCAGCUCAACCAAAUGAAACAAUUUGCAAAACAAGUCAAAGAAGCCGAUCAACAAGGUACAAAAUGCACGAACUUCCUACUCAAUCUAUAAAUUGGACAAAACUUGGUACCGCGCUAUAGACAUUGUUCCUACCAAAAAAGUAGUAUAACUGUCACCGACAUUAUUCCUACUCGAUCUAACCCUUCGUUAAUAUAUUAUUAAUGUAUUGAUUUCCUUUAAUUGUUGGUCAGAUACCAAACUUCCUUCACCAGAUAUAUUUGGAAAAUCUCUGUAUACAUUCUAUAUCGGCCAAAAUGAUUUCACUUCCAAGUUAGCAGACAUUGGCACAGGUGGAGUACAAGAGUUUCUCCCUCAAGUUGUUUCACAAAUCGCUUCUACCAUUAAAGUAAGACUAACUUAUGUCUUUAGUUAGCCACGUUGUGCGGUGACAAAAAAUGAUUUUGCAAGUUGUAAGAAGAAAUUGUUAUUAACUUGGAACUUUUCUUAUUGGAAUUUAUAGGAGCUGUAUAAUCUUGGUGGAAGAACAUUUUUGGUGCUUAAUCUUGCACCAGUAGGGUGUUACCCUUCAUUCUUAGUAGAGCUUCCUCAUAAUAGUUCAGACCUUGAUGAAUUUGGAUGCAUGGUUUCUUACAACAAUGCUGUAGGUGAUUAUAACAACAUGUUGAAAGAGUCAUUGAAACAAACCAGAGAAAGUCUCUCAGAUGCUUCUGUCGUAUAUGUCGAUACCUCUAGUUUUCUGUUGGAGCUUUUUCAGCAUCCUACUUCUCAUGGUACAAACACAUCUCUUUCCUAUAGCAUCCUACAUCUCAUGACACAUAUACCUCUAUUUGGUCCGUCAAGAGAAUUGGCUAGUUCAACCAGACUAUAUGAAAAUCGGGAUCAAACCAACCGGUGAACUAGCUAGUUCUCUUGACGGACCAUUUUGUCCGGUUUUUAAAACAUUGUUAUAAAGCACAUUAUCAUAAUUUGUCCGGUUUUUAAAACAUUGCCAUUUGGAACAGGUCUUGAAUAUGGUACAAAGGCAUGUUGUGGAUAUGGAGGGGGUGAGUACAACUUUGAUCCUAGAGUAUACUGUGGAAAUACAAAGGAGAUAGAUGGAAAAAGAGUGACAGCAACAGCAUGUGAUGAGCCUUACAAGUAUGUGAGUUGGGAUGGGAUACAUGCAACAGAAGCUGCAAACAAGCUUAUAACUGAUGCUAUUCUUAAUGGAACUUAUUCUGAUCCUCCUUUUCCAUUUCAACAACAUUGUGAUAUUCAACCUAUAGGUUGAUCCAUUUCCUUCAAGAAUUCAUGGCUGUUUCUUAUCAUAUCUUAGUUAAUUAAUUAAUAAAAAUUUAUGGAUGUGAAACAAGGUUGGAGAUGUUACAAAAAUUUAAUCAGAAUAAGAAAUUUCUAACCGUACAAAAUUUCAAGUGCAGAAUGAAAAAAUUGGCCAGAAAAAGUAGCAAAAUAAAAUGAAUGUUGAGUGUGGGAUUUGAACCCACGCCCUUUCGGACCAGAACCUUAAUCUGGCGCCUUAGACCAACUCGGCCAACUCAACUUUGCUGUUUCUAAUUCUAACUACAACGUACUUAUUCAUUACGUAUUUGUAAAGAUCAAAUGAUUAGUUAAAUUAGCCUAGCCAAAUUGGCACAAGAGAGAAUCAAACCCAAGAUCUUAAGGAGGAGCACACUCUCAGGUCUCAAAUCAAUACCACCAAAACAACCUAAGUGGGUUUAAAUCGAGAUUGCAAGUAAAACUAAGACUUCAAGUAAAACAAAAAAGAGCAAAACAAAGACCUUCUAGAUAAGACCAUCAGCCUAGGUAAUAGGGGUGACAAUAGUUACGUCGGUUUGCAUGGAUAUACGUUCUAAUUUACUUAGGUUCAGGUCAGAUCAGUCAAUCUAUUUUUCUAUAAUAUUUUUUCAAAAGUCUAUUUAAUUAAAAAGUCAGACUACAAGUUACAAGGAAUUUUUAAAUUAAUAUCAUUAUUUUAUAUUUAAUUUUGGAUUAAAUUAUAAAUUUAUUAACUUUUUCGGUAAAUUAAGACUAUUAAUCUAUAUUAAUUUUUCACAUAUAUAAAUACAUUAUUAUAAAUUAGAAUUGAAAUGUGAUUUUUAUAUAUAGUUAAAUUUUCUAAAAUGUCAUGUUAAAUAUCAAAUGAGAGUUUAACAUCAUUGGUCUAUUAGUUCAUUAAUAUAUUUAAAUAUGCUCAUAUGGAAUAAGUUCUUAAAUAAGUUAAAAGUUCAUAUCAAUUUUUCAAAAAGGAGAUCAGGCUUAUAGAAUAAGUCUAUAACAUGCUACAAAUCGAGCUUAAACUUUCAAUAUUUUAACAAGCCAAAUUUAAGUUUCGCAAAAUCUAGGUCUAGUCUAUUCUCAAUCCUACUAGAAAUAAACAAACUCAAAUUAAAUAAAUUUAAGCAUUAUCAUUUAUCACGAGUUGGUGCUUCUAACUACACACACAUAUUAUUAGAAAUGAAUCCAUUUUGAUCUUAAAAGAAUCUUCUUCUUUUUUACAGUAUACUUAAUACUAUCGAAAUUAUAGAAAUGGUGACCGAGAUAAUAUAGCAUAUGGUGUCUUUCCAUCUUUAACAUAUGGGGUUUAUUCUGUCAAAAAAUGAAAUAUGGUGCUUAUAUUGUGUAAUAUUUUAUUUUGACAAAAAAAAAAUUAUACAGUGAAUGUUUUUUUUUUUUGACGAAUUAUACAGUGUAAUGUUAGUAAAUACUCAUAGUUUAAUAUAAAAAGUAAUGGUAAUGAAAAGUAAAUUAAAAAUAUAAAAAAACAAAUGAUUAAACUUGGGUUUGUAUUUCUCUCAAAAUGGUUUCGUGGUGUAGUUAGUUAUCACGUCAGUCUAACACACUGAAGGUCUCCGGUUCGAGUCCGGGCGAAGCCAAAUUUUUCAUUUUAAUUUUUCCGUGUCAAAAACAACAUGGACCUCACAGAAAAGGUGAUUUAUAUGAAAUAUGACUCUUAACCUCCUUAUAUUUUAUAGAUGGUGGAAACAAAUUUUUACAUGCUAGAUAGAACACCAUUGUAUAUCAAUCAAACACAUUUGAUUAAGGAUAUUCUUUUCUAGGAAAUAUGUGUCAACACUCAACACUACAUAAGUAAAAAUAUGAAUGGUGUCCAUUCAGAAUUCAGAAUCAUACACAUAUAUAAGAUUUGCUGCAUUAUUUCAACAAUGGAAUGGAUUAAUACAAGGUUGAUACUGAUAGAGAUGGAGGAAUUCUAUUCUAUAUCAAGGGAUACAAAUGCCUCUCAUAUAACAAGACAUAGAGCAAAACAAACAAA
rnacentral:lncRNA from 1 species